CCAAAUGGGACACUACCAUCAUUCAAUUCAAUGACAAAAAUCGUUGGCUUUUAUCAUCCAUCCGAAUUUGUAAGCCUCAAUUUGUUGUUGCACAGCAAUCUAACAGCAUUCUCUGUUUUUCUGUGUUGCUUUUGGUGGGAGAAAGAAACACACGAGAAAAUGGAUGCACCGCCAGGGUAUCAAGAAAUGUCGAGUGUUGAGCAUAUUAAAAGGCGCCAUGAGGAGAAAGGCUGCCUCUACGCUUGGUUAGUAUGAACUCGGUCAGUUACCCUUUUACUCAUCCUUUUUCGACUGAAUUUAUAUAUAUAUAUAUAUAUAUAAUUGUUUCCCCCCUUGCUUUUGUGAUUGUUGUGACGCAGUUUGUUUACCCUGUGUUGCUGUUUCUGCUGCUAUGAGACUUGUGAAUGUUGUUUAGACAUACUUUGCUGUUCCUGCUCUUGAUAACAUGGAGAGGGGAGAGGAGAGAAAUAUUUCUCAUGAAUAAAUUAUGUAAUUGGUUUUUAAGGGAAGACAUAAACUUCUUCAAAUAAUUCCAUUUUCCCGGUGAAAAUGGAUGAAAUCCUCAAUUCCGUUUUAGAUUUGAGCUUAUAUAUGCAUCUGUAAUAUGUAAUAUGUAAUAUGUAUAUGAAUAUGAAGAUAUGGUGUGGGUACCUUUACUGAAGGAAAAAAUAUAUAGUGAUCAGUACAAUAUUUUGAUAUCUAAUUCGAUGAUUACUUUCCUUUGCCAGCACACCUUAAACUAAUUAUCACACACAUCUCUUUUUAACCAACAUAUCUUUUCACAAGCAUGUAAAUUUCGGUUAUCAAUAAUAUCCGAGACAUGCAAUGAUUAUGUAGAGCACCUGCUGUAAGGCACGAUUAAAUUAAAUAGGGCUGGACACGGUUCGGUAACUUUGGCCAACAGAAAAAAUUCAACAAAAUUCAAGAGAAUGAUCUUAAGUCCCACCCGGCUGCCUGUUUUGCAGCUGAAAAACGUAUAGAACACUACUGGUUUAGAAGACACAGAAAAUAUGCACGACGGAAAAUAAGUAAAUUAAAUGCACACGUUCUCUAUAUCCCCAAUAUAUGUUGAGCAAGAUACAGUAACCAUCAUUAUCCACUAACACAUGCUUUAAAAUUUCGUGUACAUAAUUGUCACAGCCAGUGUUUACCUUAACUCACUAAUCCGUCUCGAAGUAUCAGUUCCUCAAAACCCUCUGUGAAGCCCGCUUAUCAGUAGGUUAGCAUUUAGAAAACUCUUUUUCAAAUCAUGGUUUACAAGGACACACGCUAUGGUGCUGGUACAUGGUUGAUCUGAGCUGACGAUCAUUCAGUUGAGCAGGUUAAUUUCAAAAGAUGUAAGUGCAGGCAACGGAAGUGAGAAUUGUUGUCAGCAGUAUUGACACAACAUUCACAGCAUUGUUGUCAAGAUAGUUAAGACCUGAAAUUUUCUUAACUGUAGGCCCUGGUUUUCCAACAACCUAGAAAAGAAAACAAAAAAGAGUUGGAAUGAGAUUAAUUGAGCAGAAAGUGGAAAGAAUGAACUAAGAGUUACGCAGAUUCAAUUGUUGCCUUCAUGGAAACAUAAGAUUCACGUUUGCCUUAACGCACUUUAUUACGAACAGUGCAGAAUCCACUGAAUUGCAGUGUUGCUCCCAAAAGAGAAUCAAUGAGGCUGCCACAUAGUCCGGCAAGAGUAGAAAUAGGUAUCACCAACAGCUGCUUCAGUGCAACAUCAUAUGUACAUUUUGUAGUGGGAAAUCCAAAGACCACAUAUGUGAGUCCGACAACCGAGCCUGCAGCUGCAGCUGCCAGUAAUCCUGCUUUUGUAACUCCACCAUUUGUACCCUUCCGAACAGGCUGCCAACAAUGUGGAAACCAAAUUAGUAUCCACAGUGUACUUAUUCCAGCAGCCAGCUAAGUUCUUUUCUUCUAUCCUGCCAAAUAUUUUUCCCCAUAACCCUGUAAAUCCCAAUCGUGAUAGGAUAGACCCCACAUCUUCAACUUUGAAAGCAAGGUAAAUUCUUAAUAACAUUAGUCUAUGAGGCCAUUGGUAAAUCUUUAGAACAGUAAAAAGAAUAAAAGAUGCACAAAUGACACUCAUAAGCAUAGCAAGAAUGUGAAAUAAGAUUUUACAAGAGAGAUGUGAAAUGGGGUAAACAAUAAUGAUACAUGUACUAUUUUUAACAUUGAGUUAAAGGGCAAGUUUACUAGAUAAGUAUCCAGAAGAGAGCCGUCAAAAACAUUGUGACAAGCAAGACUUUAAUGUGUAUGAAUAAAUGGGUGCGCUCAAAAUAAAGCCAGAAGCGCAGAGCCGGGCAUAUGCAGCAUGGCAGAACAAGAUAGGGGAAAAUCCAAACUUCUUAAAGAAUAAAACUCACAUAAGCAAAAUUAUUGAUUUGACCAAAAACCCAAGUGAGAAGAACACUAAAAUCUGGGGUUGAGCAUACGAACCUUGAAGGUUGUGAUUAACCGAGGCUGAGCAUCGCUAAGUAUUCCAAGCUCAGAAGACCAAGUGUCUCCAUUGCAGCAAGCAUAGUGACCUAUAACCCCACCAAUCAGUGAUGUAAUGAAAACCGACUCUUUCGAGUCCAAGCAUUUGUCUUGCAACCCCGUUUUUGCCCACAGAACAAGAACCAAGACUGAAGCAAUCCCGCUGUUUGAUAAAACUUGUACCCAAUUUCUUUGACCGCCCUCUUUGAAAUCAGCGUCAACGCGACGCUUCUUGUCUUCACCAACCUUGGUCAGCUUUGACGAUGUGAAAAAGAACACGAGCAACAGAGCUCCGUACCUUCAAAUUUUUUUACAAAGAUGAAAAACUUUAUUAAACAAUUCGCCCUUUUGGGAUUUGGAUGCAGAGAAAGAGAAAGAGAAAGAGGAAAGAGGAAAGAAAAUCGGCGUGCCUGUAUCCGAUUGCAAUGUGAAUGGUCAUGACAGCAAAACCCGCGAUUGCUCCUGAGAGGUCCAGGGAUUUUCUACGGUAGGCUCUGGCGGCGAUCAACGACGAGAUUAGAAGGGCGAUUAACGGUUGGAUUAAGAGUUUAUCCAUGUUUGCGGCUCUAAGCAUGUAAAUUUUUGUUUUCACGAUUAUGGUGGAAAGGAAACUAAAGGAUAGAGUGGAAAGAAUGACUGCUCUCACACCACGCACCGAGCCUCGUUUUUGGUAUAUUGUCUUUUUUUGGCGGCCUACACUGACCCAACUUUUUAUUUAUUUUAUUGAGAACGGGUAGUGGACCUCACUUCAAUUGGUCACUCCCCCCCACAUUUUCAUCCAAUUUAAGAGAAAAAUGGAGCCCACCUAAUUUCUUUAAUGGAGAAGCACCAUAUGAUAACCACAUGGCAAUCCACGCAACAAUAUGUUUAUAGCCGGCACACAGAAAGUUGAUUUAUUUUCCUUUUUCCCUAAAUAAGUGAUUGGUCCCACAGAAAGUUUAUUUGAACAGCUAUGCAAAGCCUACCAACCCUUUUUCGUGUUUAGAUAAGAGUUUAUUCUUGGCUGAGGCUGAUCAAUCAUUUCAUUUUGCCUAAAAUUUUAGGCUUUAAUUUCACCCCAGACAGAGAAGAAGAAGACAGCUUCUUGUUGACAAUAGAAAAAGACCACAAUCAGUGGAACUGCAGCUAAGCCAGCAAAAUUUUAAGAUUACCAUCAUCACCAUAUACAUAUCAAAACAAAAAAACAAAAAAAAUUACCCGACACACAAAAAAUUGAUGAGAAUACAACAAAACGAGGUUUUAAAACGUCAACGAAAUCCUCCUCUUCCCCUCCCCCCUCCUCUACUCCUCCCCCGCCCCCUUCCUCUUCCUCUUCCCCUCCCUUCAUGUCCCAUUCCACGACCACCGUCGUCAUCCCUUUGGAAGUUAAACAUGCUCAUUUUUAUAUUCUCUGCAUUCACAUCACGAGGAGGACCUUUUUGUACCUGAAUUGCAGCAUAAUGACAUCAAAUACUUUCAAUACAACAACAAUGACAAAAAUAAUGCUCAUAAGAUGCAGAGGCACUGACAUGAUAAUCUUCCAAAUCAAAUUGAUUUUGGAGCUGCCUUGCAAGUUCCUCGUCGCGACUGCUCUGUGCAAAGGGAUUUCUUAUUGAAGGCUUUGCUCCAGCUUUCCUCUUUUCCCAUUCAUCCAAAGUGAACACCACGGGCUCUUCCUCUUGCCUCCCCUUUCCUCUAUAUUGUCUACCUCUUGAAUGCCUGUCAUCCCGGUUUUGAUGACUCAUUUUCUGGAGGAGUUUUUGUGCAGCCGCUUGGUUUUGAACAGGGACAGCUUCAAUUACUGUAGAAGCCAUGGAUACAUCAGUAUCACAUUACAAAGUAAACAGAAAUGUAGAACAUUUACAAUAAAAUAAAUACACAAGUCAACUGAAUGCAGUUGUGUGAAUUUUGUAAUUAAUCCAUUUUACAUAACCGUUGAUCUGGACAUAAUUUAAAGAGGAGCAAAAAUUCUCCAUUUUUAAGAUUCAAGUAUUACUCUGACACCUUCCACCUGUCUCAUCUACAAGCACAUAUGCCCCACUAGUAACAAUCAUUCAACAAACCUGCCACACCCCCUCCCCGCAUUCUUUUCUCCCCAAGUGCAUAAAAUCAAACUUAAAUUAUAUGAGUUACAGAUGCAGCAUAGAUAAUAAUAAAGUAUAAUAAAAAGUUGCAAGCUGGACUUAAAAAUGAAGAUCCACCUUCUUUUGGCCUCGCUGCAGAGCUACUAGGUUUAUCUUGAGUUUGUUCAUCAAGGGAAUCUGUCGUAAGCUUGUUAUCUGUGUCAUUCUUUUUAUCAGAGUUAUCCACGUCGUUUGAUUUCAAAUGAAGGUCCUGCUGCCUUCCAAUUGGCCUAACCUCAACGUUUCUGGCAAUAGGCCCACUGCUCUUGGAGUUCACAUCAGAGUAAUCUGCCAAUGAUUGCAUCUUGCUCAUGAGUUAUGCAUGCAUUAGCAAUCUGAACAUUAUGGUGAAAGACAUAAACUAUUAAAAUCUUAUGUAAUUAAGAGCUCAAGAAUACUGACAAGAAGACUUGUCCUGCUGAGGAAACCGACUUUUGGGUAUCCCAACUUGCAACUUCUCAAAUGGAGGGGGGCCGUUACCGUCACUUUCCUGUGAAACCCUUAAAGAUGAGCGGGAAAAGCCUGAAUAUUUUUUAUUCAUCUGCCAUUCUUCAUAAAGUGACUGAACAACGCCUCCUAACAAAGUCACAACUUUAGGAUUCAAACAUACUAUUCCAUUACGUAUAGUAGCUCUACCUUCCAAACGGACCUGCCAAUCAAAAGCAGGACAAACAAAAGAUGUUCAGUUAACAAGAGAUAUGACCUUCAUAUAUGCACCAGUUGUCCAUGAACUUGAGAAAUAGGGAAUAGAGAGACACUGAAAACUUGUUCCAAAAUUUGUAUCAAGGUUCACAUGACCAGUAAUAUACAAUAAACACAGCCUGUAGCGUGUAGGGAAAUCCCAAGCAUAGUGUGACAGAUUCUUCAAACUGGCAUCAUAUCUCAUGAAAAAGUACUUAUAUUCCGCACAAAAUGGUAAUCAACAGACUAACUGUCAAACUUAGAAAUUUCAUCCAUUGGAAUGUUGAGCUAAAAGUAGCAUAUGGGAUAACGAAUUGUUGAGCUCAAGUGAAAUAAUUUAAGUAUGUUUGUCUUACACUUGGAUUUAUCAAGCCCAAUAUAUAAUAAAUUAUUAGUUUUCCAAUGGGCUUCACAAUUGUGCAGCUCAAUAUCUAUUAGUUUGCUAUUAAACUGAAGACAAAUUCCAAAAUAUGUUCAAUCAAUGACAGCUCUAAGUUAUUUACACAGAUAUAAAACGCAAGCUGAGCAUUGAGCUAGCAUGAAGAACAGGGAAGUACCUUUGUACCAGGAACGACGUCGUCAGGGAUUGAUGGGAUAUGAAAGUACUCUACAGCUGCUACCUCGCUGUGGCCGUCUGUCAGGCCAAGCUUUAAAAGACGCCGACUGCUUGAAUUUCUCGCAAAAUCCACCACACUGCUUCUGGUAAUGUCUCUAACCCAAGCUAUCUGAUAAAAACACAAACGAAGACCGCAUUUUUCUUCGUCUUUAAGUUUUUUCUCGGCAACCAAACAGUGAACAAUAAAAAUUCACGAGAGAGUUAAGAGGUGUGAUUGCCUGGAGGACUUGAGGGCCGAGAAGAUGAGAUGAUUUGCGGAGAGUAUUCGGGUCGGGCAAGGACUUGGCGGAGAUGGAUUUGAGGUCCAUGUUGGUGAGCUCCGAUUCCACUGAAUUCACCACCGUACGCGUGUCGUCGGCCAAAGCGGAGUGGAUCAUGAUCAUCGCCUUCACUUGGUCCAGGUCGCCGAAGCACCAGCCCCUGCUCCUUAGGGUUUCGAUUGCAGCGUCUGAAGCACCGGAGCUCUCCUCCAUUUUUAGCGCCUGUUUGCGCGGCGUUUGAUUUUGGGGCUUUUCUUAGCUUUUGCAAUUGCAACAGAGAACGAACAAUGUAGGAUGUGGUCCCAUGUCGGCCAUGAAAUGUCGUCGUCUUGGCUUUAGUGAGAACGAAUGAGGGGCCAACGGGCCGAGGACCAAAAAGGGCCUACAUCACCCAACAGCAAGGGACAACGGGGCGAGGUGUAUAAGUUGGUGGGCCGUAGGCAGGGCUUGGGCCAUCCUGGUAUAGAAUGAUCAAGUCCGGCAGGGCACGUAGGUAGUUUAUUAAAUAAUUAAUAAAAUAAAAAAAAAUAGUGGGGCAUCAUGCCAUGUCUCAAUAAAAUAAGAACUUUAGGUGUCACCGGUUGUAAUUAGUUAGAGGGCAUAAUUCUCGGAUGACCCUCAUCGCAUCACACGUAAAAGAAAUAUUAUAUAAAUUAUGUUAGUUAGCAGUUUUGCGAAGUGUAUUUGUUACAUAAAUUAUUUAUAUAAUUUAUUAUUGGAUGAAUAAUGCAUCAUUGAGAGGCACUUGGUUUCGGUUGGAGAUGUGCAUGUGGAAAGUAGAAUGUGGUUGAUGUGUGUAAUAUAUAUAUAUAUAUAUAUAUAUAUAUGUAUUUGUUAUAUGUGGUUUCUAAUUCUAAUUACCAUGUAGUUUCGUGUAUCUUAAUAGUCGGUUACCAAUUUGUGAGCUACUCUCACCAACCAACCAGAAGACAAUGAGAGAAGGAAAAGGUCCUUGAGCCUUUGAUAUAAACUGCACAGCCAGCUGCAAGGAGAGGGGACGUAUAUAUCACGAUGCAUGAAUUGAUCAUGUUUUGUUGGGGAAAUGCUCGAUAUUAUGGUUAUAUCAGACAAUUUUUCUUUCAAGUUAUGAACAUAAACAAAAACCCCACCACAUAAAAGAUAUAGGUCACAUGGAUUUAUCAUUUUUUUUCUUCUAGAUCACAGAGCAGCGGCAGUGUGCUACUGGUGUUACUUUUUCAGUGCGGGGCCUCCUGCAUUUAGUUACCAUUAAUAUCCCCAACGCCAUAUGCCAAUUAGCCAACUAUAGGGGCAAAGGAAUAUGCAACUGGCAGGAAAUUUUUCCCUAAAUUAUCUUUAUUUAUUUAUUUCUGAGAUGGCCUUCUGUAUCGAUAUAAAUCUCUCGUCCAUAACGGAGGCAGAAUUUAAUCCUAGCUUUCUUGUAGAAACUAUGCCCCUGCGAAAUAUAAAUGUAGAAGUCAGCUUAAUUUAAGUUGCUCAUCAAUAACCAAAUUAUAAAAUAAAAUGCAGUUUCUUAAGUGUCUCAAUCGGUUGAGAAAUUAGGUUAACCGCUAAACUCAACUUAUUAUUAACGGCUUUAAAUAAACAGCAGAGAGAGACUCGGGCAGGGCUUCAAUUCGGUUGUAGGGCUAUCUGUACUUAUGUUCAAUUAUGUUGAUAAGACACCACCAGUAAUUCCAUAUUCUAGUUUCUUAGACUAAACACAUUUACAGGUUUAAUUUUUUUGACUAAACACAUAUCCUCUUUUAAAUAUGGUUAGAAGUUGACCAAUUUGGUAUUAGUUGGAUUGACUCAGGUAGGUUCUUUGUGUGCUCCCAAUAGUACUUGUGUGUGUGAGUUUUUCCCUCCACCUUUCUAACGUUGGCAACAAAAGUACAAGUUGGAAAUAAUAUUCUAGCUUGAAUUAGUAGCAGUUUGUUAAUCAAAUCAUGUCCUAUCACUACAAAAUAAAAAAAUGGCAACAGUCACCGUUAUUUAGUGACAUUUGCCAAAAGACUUUAGUCACCCCAACAAACGUCGUCAAAUAAUGAUAACUUGACUUUUUUUUAUUAUUUUUGGUAGUAUAUGGCAUGAAAGGUUCUUAUAUGGUAGUUGAGUGUGAUAAAUUAAAAUUUCGCAAAUUUUGAUUGAGUAGACAGGAGGACAUCAUAGAUUGUUAAAGAUGUUUGGUUGAUGAAAAUGACUGGGGUUUCAGAAUUUCAACAAAUCUCAUGUAUUAUACACAGGCCAAGACAAGAGGAUAGUUAACCAAAAAACUAUUCUCAUGCACAAGUCACUUCCAGUAUGUGUAAGUGUAACCAAGAACUUCCAUGAAAUGAAGUUCUCAUGCUAGCUGUAGACAAAGAAAUAUAUUUUUGCCGAUUUAAAACAAACAUUUUAUUUAAGAUCUCGUGUGUAUGUUGUAAGACUCAAUUGCAUCAAUCCCUAAUCAUUUGUGUAUGUGAAGAAUUUCUAACUAUUCAUAUAUUGUGAGUGCCUGUUUGGUAUUGCUUAUUUGCGGUGAUAAGUGAUUUUUUAAAAAUUUUGGGAAGCCCAGUCCGUUUGGUAAACUAUGAGAAAAUCACUUAUUGUUAAAAAUUGUUGUGAGAGAAAGCUAUAAGGGAAAUCAGCUAAUGAGUUGCUUUCAUUUUCUGAUUAUGCAGAAAUCAGUUUUGAAGAGGGGUUGAGUUUAAUGAUUAUGCGGCAAUCAUUUUCUAAUUAUGCGGGAAUCAGUACCAACAACACUUAUAACAAAAAGUUUACCAAACGCCAAACUGCUUUAUCUCACAGCUGAUUUCUCUCAUAGCAAAUCUAACAGCGAUUACUUUCACAGCACAGCAAUGCCAAAUUGGCCCUCAGAACUCAAUUAUAUUUAUUGUUAAUCGUAUGUGUCUGUAAAUGAGUUCUAACUAUUCAAACAUUAGGAGACCCAGUUGCAUCAAUAGUUAGAAAUUGCAGGCAGCUGAUAGCUGAUACUAAAAACACAUGAGUAUUGUGAGUAAUGAUGGCAAUGGAGAAACCCUCCAGAAAAGGCAAAUAGCUCUUGGCCUUCACCUUUGGAAGAAGGGGAGUUACUCUGCUUCGGUUUAAGAAGUAAAACGUCAACCUUUUUGCCUCUUAACUUUGACUUUUUCCAAAAACGGCCCCACUGUACCAACACCUCACCCGCCGUUUUAUUUUACUCCAAAUCACCCAACACGGCAGUAAAAAAUGCAAAACCCAUCUUCCCAGCCGUUUCAUUCAAAUUCCCACGUAAAAUCCCACCAACCCACGCGCCAAACCUGCAACCUCAACGGUCCUUCUCCUUGGUGUAAUACCAGCCGUUUGAUGAAGUCGGACGAUUCGAUUUCAGAGCGAAUAGAGUUUAUUCAAAUAGACGAGCGAGUUCGCGUUUGAAAGAAGCCUCGUGCUUUAUGUCUUCCCGCGGCCAUUAAAUGAGCCUCUGUUUCUGUCUCUCCCGUUCCUGCACACAAACUGUGAAUCACUUUAACGUGCACAAUGUAUUCUCCAGUGAGAAAGAGGAGAGAGAGAGAGUUCAACAAACACGAAGACUCUCUACGGAGAGCUAUUAAAUGCAGAGCUCAACCACCAUUUUCAGCAUUCAAAUUUGUCUACCUCACAUUCAAACCCUACUUUUAUUAGUCUCUCUCUCAGUCUUAGCCACAAGACUCUGAGAGGGAGAGCUUUUUAUUUAGUAACGGUUUCAGGACUCUGCGCAGACAUAGAUAGGGUUGGGAUUUCCGAUGUGGAACUCGGCGGAGAACGUGUUCGCGCGAGCUUCGUCGUUUAGGGAGGAAGGGGAGGAUGAGGAUGCACUCCGGUGGGCAGCGCUCGAGAGGCUCCCCACCUAUGCCCGCGUCCGACGUGGCAUUUUCAGGGACGUAGCCGGAGACACUAAGGAGAUCGACGUCAGCGAGCUCGAGGCUCAGGAGCAGAAGCUCUUGCUCGACCGCCUUGUGAGCUCCGCCGACGACGAUCCCGAGCGGUUCUUUAAUCGCAUGCGACGCAGAUUCGACGCGUAAUCGUCUUCAAUUUCUUGGACAAAAACUUCGAAUGACUCUGCUUGGCUGCCGAGAAAAUAUCAGCAAAGAAAGCAAAUUUAGUAUCUCAUAAAUUGAUUUUACUAUACAGUGCCAAAUGAGAGUGUUGAAGUCUCUGUUUUCUCUGUUUCUCAGCAGCCAAACGGAUUUUCUUUUUGUCAUUCUUAAUUUCGUUACUUUGUUUUUGGCUUGCUAUUUACUCUAAAUAUUUCUGUCAAAAUUUGGCUGUGCAGAGUCGAUCUGGAGCUUCCGAAGAUCGAGGUUCGAUUUCAGAACUUGAAAGUCGAAGCUUUCGUCCACGUGGGAAGCAGAGCACUGCCAACUAUUCCCAAUUUCGUUUUCAAUAUGACGGAGGUAGAGUUUCUUCAUUCAAAUUAUCAGUUAAUUUCCUUGAAUGCAACUUGUUCGAUUACAUGAUUGAGCGCUUGUUAAAAAAGAAAAUAACCUUUGCAUUAUCUGGAUGCCAUUUUAGGCCCUUUUUAGGCAAUUACGGAUAUACAGGCCCCAGAGAAGCAAAUUAACGAUUUUAGACAACAUUAACGGGAUUAUAAGACCUUCAAGGUAGGUAUUUUAGCAUCAGCUAGUUCUCAAUUGCUGAGUUUUCAGCCCAGUGUUUACGUCUAACAAGCUGUGUUGGUGUUGUUUUGUAGAUUGACGUUACUAUUGGGUCCACCAAGCUCCGGAAAGACGACGCUACUAUUGGCUCUUGCUGGACGACUUGGAACUGGUUUGCAGGUAUCCAAUUGAACGACAGAGAUCCUGCUAAUCGGUAUCUGGUUUCGACAUUUGCUUUAACUCAUUGUACUUUGAUCACUCUGAAGAUAUCAGGGAGCGUCACAUAUAACGGCCAUGUCUUAAAGGAGUUUGUCCCUCAGCGGACGUCUGCUUAUGUCAGUCAACAGGAUUGGCAUGCGGCAGAGAUGACUGUAAGGGAAACUCUUGAGUUUGCGGGGCGCUGCCAAGGUGUUGGGACUAAAUAUGGUAAGCUUUGGGAAAUUAGGUACUUGUGUACUAGUGGUGCUUGUUUAGAUGCUGACAUGAAAACUUUGUCACAGAUAUGCUAUUAGAACUUGCAAGAAGAGAAAAGAUAUCCGGGAUAAAACCCGAUGGAGAUCUUGAUAUAUUCAUGAAGGUACGAGUACUUAUUCAAUAUGUUGAUUCCUUUAUACAUGUAAUGAUUGCUGAUACUUUGUUUUCCAGUCGUUAGCUCUUGGGGGGCAGGAGACAAGCCUUGUGGUGGAGUACAUCAUGAAGGUAUUUGUUCGAUGCUGGUUAUUAUUGGAUGCAUAUCCAUUAACAUGUUCAUUUUGAGUAUUUGACUGGUUGAUGUAUCUUGAUUUAUUAUUAAUAUCUUGAAGAUAUAUCUUGAUUUAUUAUUAGAUUUAUUUUAGGUACUAAAAUAUGUUUGACAAAGAUUUUAGGGUUGGACAUAUGUGCUGAUACAUUGGUAGGAGAUGAAAUGCUUAAGGGAAUCUCAGGGGGGCAAAAGAAGCGGCUCACUACAGGUGUAUACUUCUUUUGUUUUUUAAAUUUGUUUUAGGUUGAAGGGGGAUUCUUGUGCACUAGUAGGGUAAAGCUGUUUGCUAAUAAAUCAACUGUGAUUUCCAGGUGAAUUGCUAGUAGGUCCAGCAAGAGUUCUGUUCAUGGAUGAAAUAUCAACUGGGCUUGACAGUUCAACUACUUAUCAAAUCAUCAAAUAUCUUAAGCAUUCAACUCAUGCACUUGAUGCAACCACUGUUAUAUCUCUGCUUCAACCUGCUCCAGAGACCUAUGAGUUGUUUGAUGAUGUUAUACUUUUGUGUGAGGGCCAGAUUGUUUUUCAAGGACCCCGUGAAGCUGCUCUUGACUUCUUUGCAUACAUGGGAUUUAGGUGUCCACGGAGAAAGAAUGUUGCAGACUUCUUGCAAGAAGUAAGUAAUGGAGAGCUUGAGUUGUGAGUUGCUAUUCUGUUGCAUGGAAUGUUUGGUAAUUUUUUUUCCCUCGUACACAGGUUAUAUCAAAGAAAGACCAAGAGCAGUACUGGUCCAAUCCUGAUCUCCCGUACCUCUAUGUUCCACCGGCAAAGUUUGUUGAUGCUUUUCGUUUAUUUCAAGCUGGGAAGAAUUUGUCUGAAGAACUAGAUGUUCCUUUUGAUAAACGCUACAACCAUCCUGCAGCUUUAGCAACUUCUCGCUUUGGCAUGAAGCGGCGUGAGCUUCUCAAAACAAGCUUUAACUGGCAAGUGCUACUGAUGAAGCGGAAUGCAUUUAUCUAUGUUUUCAAGUUCGUUCAGGUAAUAGUACCAUUAUUUGUUUAUCCAAAGGACAUGUUUUCGAUGGUAUUUGCUAGUAAAUGUUACCUUCCGUGCUAGCUUGUAGAACACCUUAAUUAAUAUCUUUUUUGUUUGUUUCUUUUUUCCAAUCAUCUGAAAGAUGAAACUGGUGAAUGUUAUCUGCUGCUGAUUAAGUACUAUGUUCUGUCUUGCAGCUUCUUUUUGUUGCUUUGGUUACAAUGAGUGUUUUUUUCCGGACGACAAUGCGCCACAAUACAAUUGAUGACGGAGGCUUAUAUCUUGGGUCACUAUACUUUUCCACGGUUAUUAUUCUUUUUAAUGGCUUCAUGGAGGUUCCAAUGUUGGUGGCGAAGCUUCCGGUGCUUUACAAGCAUAGGGACUUGCACUUCUAUCCGAGCUGGGUCUAUACGAUUCCAUCUUGGGUCUUGAGUAUUCCAAUUUCACUCAUAGAGUCUGGUUUCUGGGUGGCAAUCACAUACUAUGUCAUUGGAUAUGACCCUGCAUUUACUAGGUAAAUCAUAUUUUUUUUUGGAAUUCUGCAUAAAUCGUGAAAGUUGGCAAAGGAUGAAGUUCUUACGUUAAUUGUUGAAUCUGCAGAUUUUUGGGGCAGUUCUUGAUAUAUUUCCUUCUGCACCAGAUGUCCAUAGCUCUCUUCCGUAUUAUGGGAUCCUUAGGUCGAAAUAUGAUAGUUGCCAACACAUUUGGAUCUUUUGCUAUGUUGGUUGUAAUGGCUCUUGGAGGAUACAUCAUCUCGAGAGGUCAACCUAACAUUUUGUCAAUGUCUACAUGUUUCCAACUUGAUUGCAUACUUUUAUUGAUUUCCCUAUUCAAAUGUGACAGAUCGUAUACCGAAGUGGUGGAUUUGGGGUUUCUGGUUUUCUCCCUUGAUGUAUACUCAAAAUGCAGCUUCUGUAAAUGAAUUUCUUGGACAUUCCUGGGACAAGGUAACAUUCCAAUUCAUUACCUGUUCAAGUUUGCUUUACUGAUUAUAGCAAUUAUGGAUUUAUUAUGCUAGUCAAGGUAAGGGUAUGGUAGUUUUUACUAACUAGAAAUAACCAUAAAUUACGUUUAAGAAUUCUAAUGCCUUGAUAAUAAUAGUGGAUAUGUUAUCUUUGAUAAUAGACUUGGAUUUUAUUUCCUUUUUUGUGAAUUUUCAAGUAAACCAUUGGCAUCCUCCAAGAGGACAUUAUGUUUGAUGGGAAAAUAGUGUUAAACAUUAUUUUGCUAAAUCACAUUAAUUUGUAAUUGCACACUGUGUAGGCAAGAGCCAAUAAGAAGAUUUACUUCACCAGACCUAUUUAUUCAGUUAUUGUCUAGGAUUCUACUCUGAAACUUCUAAUUCUGUUUUUCCCUGUUAUUUAUGUAGAGAAUUGGAAGCCACACCAGCUUUCCAUUAGGUGAGGCAUUGCUGAGAGCACGCAGCUUGUUUCCCGAGAGCUACUGGUAUUGGAUUGGUGCUGGUGCUUUGCUUGGAUAUACAGUUUUGUUCAACAUUCUAUUCACAUUCUUCCUCGCUUACCUUAACCGUAAGUCAUUUCUGCUCAUAAAAACAAACUAAUUUUCAUUUUCCUUCUAUUGCUGCAUGUAGCCAAACAAAUUUAAAAAAAGAAAGCUUAUUGAGUUGAUUUUGGAUAUAUGCAUCAGCGUUGGGGAAGCAACAAGCUGUAGUCUCUAAGGAAGAGCUUCAAGAGAGAGAAAGGAGAAGAAAAGGACAAAAUGUUGUUAUUGAGCUGAGACAGUACUUGCAGCAUUCAGAGUCAUUAAAUGGUUUGAAAAAUAAUUUGGAUAUUGAGUUUGUUUUAGUACAAUUCUUUUUAAUUAAUUACAGACCUGUUUAAGUUCCAAAAUUCUUUCUUAUCUUCUACGCAGGAAAAUAUUUUAAGCAGAGAGGAAUGGUCCUCCCAUUUCAACCACUUUCCAUGUCUUUCAGCAAUAUCAACUACUACGUGGAUGUCCCUCUGGUGAGUCUUUAACACUAUUCACUUGCACCAUCCAUUCUGGGAAACAUGUUAACUAUAUAUUUUUUCUGAUCCAAGUACCACCUCAGGAAUUGAAGCAGCAGGGCAUUCAAGAAGAAAGAUUGCAGUUGUUGGUUAAUGUCACUGGAGCAUUUAGGCCUGGGGUGCUUACAGCAUUGGUUGGAGUAAGCGGUGCGGGGAAAACUACCCUCAUGGAUGUAUUAGCUGGUCGAAAAACUGGUGGCUUCAUAGAAGGGAGCAUUCAUAUAUCUGGUUAUCCAAAAAGACAAGAAACUUUUGCAAGAAUUUCUGGUUACUGUGAGCAGACUGAUAUUCAUUCCCCCUGUUUGACUGUUCUGGAAUCACUUCUCUUCUCUGUUUGGCUUCGGUUACCAUCAGAUGUUGAUUUGGGGACACAGAGGGUAUUCACAUAAAAUUAUUUAAUGUUUUUGUACGUCUUCAUCAUUAAAAAAAAAUCUAUCAUCUAAAAGAUUUAAAAAUCAUUCAGGCUUUUGUAGAGGAGGUGAUGGAACUUGUGGAGCUCACUCCAUUAAGUGGAGCAUUGGUUGGUCUACCGGGGGUAGAUGGUUUGUCAACAGAACAACGAAAAAGGCUAACAAUAGCUGUCGAGCUGGUUGCCAACCCAUCUAUAGUAUUCAUGGAUGAGCCCACAUCAGGGUUGGAUGCACGGUCUGCGGCUAUUGUGAUGAGGACCGUGAGGAAUAUUGUCAAUACUGGACGUACUAUAGUGUGCACAAUCCACCAGCCUAGCAUAGACAUCUUUGAAUCCUUUGAUGAGGUUCUCUCUCUCUCUCUCUCUCUCUCUAUAUAUAUAUAUAUAUAUAAUACAUAAUGAUAUAAUGUACCCUAUAUAUAUGUAUAUCCACCUAAACUAUCUUCCUACGUAUAUAUAACCAAUUUUCUAACAAGGUAUGCACAUGAAGACGUGUUUUUUUCUUCCAAUUUUUAGAUAUGAUAAGAAUGGGUGAGAUGGAGAUGCAAAGACAUGCAUCUUGAUUGAUCCUACUAUGACCAGAGUGUAAAACAGCUCAGUCAUAUUUGCCCGAGCAUUUCUAUAUUGCUUUAUUAUCUUGAUUGAUCCUGCUAUAAUCUCAUAUGUGUUGCAGCUUCUAUUUUUGAAGCGUGGAGGAGAGCUCAUAUAUGCUGGUCCACUUGGUCUUAAUUCUUGUGAACUCAUCAAGUACUUUGAGGUCAGAUCAUGCAUGCCAUGCCAGUAUAUAUUUCAGAACAUGUGACUUUGGGUAAUGUUCAUGACUGUCAGCUUAACAUGUGAAUAUUUCUUUCUGCAGGCAGUCGAAGGAGUGCCAAAGAUCAGGCCUGGAUAUAAUCCUGCUGCAUGGAUGCUUGACGUUACUUCUUCAGUUGAAGAAAGUCGCCGGGGGGUGGAUUUUGCAGAAGUUUACCGAAGAUCUAACUUGUUUCAGUAUGAAAACUUAAUGAAUUCUGACUGUGCUGCUUUUAUACAGAACUAUAUGCUUCUUGAUCUAACAACCAUCUUCCUUUGUCUCAGGCACAACAAAGAGUUGGUUGAAAGCCUGAGCAAGCCAAGUACCAAUUCUAAAGAACUAAAUUUUCCAACCAAGUACUCUCAGACAUUUUUCGAACAAUUUCUCACUUGUCUUUGGAAGCAAAAUCUGUCUUAUUGGCGAAAUCCUCAGUACACUGCAGUUCGCUUCUUUUACACUGUCAUCAUCUCAUUGAUGCUAGGAACAAUUUGUUGGAGAUUUGGUGCUAAGAGGUUUUCUCCUUUUUCUUAAUCUUGUAAUUUAUGAUAACUCUAUAAGGGAACUAAUCAUCUUGAUGUAUUAUCUUCUUUCAGCCCUUAUUUCUAGAUGUCAAUAUGUGCCAUUGGGUUUCUAUAUGACAGGAUUUCUUUUCCCUUUGCAGGGGAACCCAGCAGGAUUUACUAAAUGCUAUGGGAUCCAUGUAUGCAGCAAUCCUAUUUAGUGGAAUCACCAAUGGCACUGCUGUUCAACCUGUUGUUUCUAUAGAACGAUUUGUCUCAUAUCGAGAGAGAGCUGCUGGGAUGUACUCAGCUUUACCAUUUGCAUUUGCUCAGGUUCGGCUUUACUACGCUACGCCCACUCUUUGAAACUCAUAAUAUUACCCUGGUAUCCCUUAAAUUUAUCUAACGCAUUGAUCAUGUAUGCAGGUCGUGAUAGAGCUCCCUUAUGUGUUUGCACAAGCAAUUAUAUACUGUGCAAUUUUCUACUCUACGGCUUCAUUUGAGUGGACUACUUUGAAGUUCGCUUGGUAUAUAUUCUUUAUGUAUUUCACAAUGCUAUACUUCACCUUGUACGGCAUGAUGACGACAGCUGUCACACCAAAUCAUAAUGUGGCCUCUAUAAUUGCUGCUCCAUUUUAUAUGCUAUGGAACUUGUUCAGCGGCUUUAUGAUUCCUCACAAGGUAAUGGAAGUGGCUGCUUUCAUUGCUCAAUCUCAUGUGUACUUUAUCAGAUAACAUAUUCUUAUAAUAACUUGUUAAGAAUACUCUCUAACACAAUAACUUGUUGCACUUGUUCAGAGAAUUCCAAUAUGGUGGAGAUGGUAUUACUGGGCAAAUCCUGUGGCCUGGAGUCUGUAUGGCCUCUUUGUUUCGCAAUACGGCGACGAUGAUAGUCUUUUGAAGCUGGCAGAUGGAACUCAUACAAUGCAAGUAAGGCAGUUUCUCAAAGAAGGGUUUGGGUACAGGCGUGAUUUUCUGAGUGUAGCCGGCAUUAUGGUGGUCGGUUUCUGCGUGUUUUUUUCCAUUAUCUUUGCCUUUGCAAUAAAAUCCUUCAACUUCCAGAGGAGAUAACAAGGCAGAUUUCUAUACCCUAUUGCUUUAGUUAUGGGAUCAUUGCAUGGUGUGACAAGUAUAUCAGCAUCUCAAUUCAUGAAGAAACAAAUAAGUAUAUCAGCAUCUCAAUUCAUGAAGAAACAAUGUUAAAGUGUAUAGCUACAUGAUUAUAUAGAUAUAUAAUAUAGGAUCAAAUUAUUUGUUUGUUUUAGAUCGAGUGCAGAUAACAGCUAGUUGCUAGCUGGGCUUUUUAUUUUUAUUUUUAUGUGUAAACAAAUUACAUGCUUUCAGUAUUUAUUUAUUUAUUUAUUUUGGGUUUAACUUUACAAAACUCAAACAUGUUGUAAAGUACUUGGUGAAUAAAUUAUAGGGCAGUGCAGCCAUUGUGUCCUUUUUGUUUUGGUUCUAAGAUUUUGAUUUCUGUAAUGUCUCUAUGGAGUUAGAAGACAGAGAGGUCCUAGUGCUGUAAAUUCCAAACUAAAUGGGUCCUCCACUACAAAAGGACCAAAUUGGCAAUUUGCCAAUACUUUCGAAUUAGAAUUAGACAACAGACUUGGGGCCAAUUCGUGAAUCUGUACAAAAUAGAUCAUGUCGUUUUUACCCAACCAGAUUACGUUUUUAUUUACGUGUAGUUUCCAUGAAAAAUAUUGACACGUGUUUGAAAGCUAACGGCGCUUUGCCCCAAACCUUGCGAGCCUUUCUUCUUCCCCCUCUUUCGAUUGCCAUGAACCCCUCCACGAGCAAAGAGCUGGAGCAUUCAAACCCGAGAAUCCAAAUCAUUUGAAAGUACAAGAUCUUCGUGGGCCAGUGGCCUCAUUUGUUUGAUCCGAUCCAAUCCAAUUCAAUAUAGUUUUUAACAGCACAACGCAAGGCAUGGCUCCUGGGCCUUUGAUUUCUCUAUAUACACAAGGCAUGCCUCAUAAGUACAACUUACUCUUUUGGUACAUUUUCUCUAAGAGAGAGAUAAGAAGAAGAAGAAAAAAAGAGAAACCCAGAAAGGAAAAAAGGAAGAAUGGGGACUGAACUGAUAAAAUGAAGUGCUAGGUUUCAAAGUUUCCCAAACGCCCGCCCCAUUCAAUUCUGAAACCGACUUUCACAUAAUGACAGAUAUCAUGCAUACAUAGGGUCAAGAAAUGCCAUAGAAAAGUAGAUUGUAGCUGCAGUUGCAACACUUGCCCUACAUGCAUCUACAUGUAACUUACAUGCCACACCCAUUAUCUCAACGCAGUUCAAAAGGGUUCUCAUUCUCAACAAGAAACCCACAAAAUAAUUACCAUGAACAUCCACCUCUCUUCCCACCACCACCUCAUCCCUCUCGACUUCAAAUCCCUCGUCACCUUACCCAACUCCCACACUUGGGCUCCAUCCUCCUCCGAUCACCACCCGUUCCCCGAAUCCGUACCGGUCAUCGACCUAUCCGACCCGAAUGCCACCCCUCUGGUCCGCCUUGCCUGUGAGAAAUGGGGUGUGUUCCAAGUCACCAACCAUGGCGUUCCCAUGAACCUCAUCAAACAAACUCAGCUCCAAACCCAUCGACUCUUCGCCCUCCCCAGAGACCAAAAACUCCGGGUCCUCCGCUCGCCCGAUGGCUUCACCGGGUACGGGUCGGCCCGCAUUUCUGACAACUUCCCCAAGCUGAUGUGGUCGGAGGGUUUCUCGAUGAUGGGGUCUCCGCUGGAACAUGCCCGCCAGCUUUGGCCACUUCACCACGCCAACUUCUGGUACGUGCCAGAGACAAAUAAAUAAAUAAAAUAAUGCAUCUCCAGUGUGUAUCAUCUCUUUAUUUUCAUGCCACACUUCUCUAAUUGAGUAAAAUCUACUAAUACAAUAAAUAUAAAAAUACCUAACAAUUUCCUUUGCUAAAUGUCUUCAAGGAUAUAUUAGUAAUUAGAUCAUGUUCGUUAUGAUCGAUGAAUGAAAGGCCAGGCUUAGGGACGUCACGUGGCGGGAUAUGGGUGAUCUAGAAACUUGGCUUCCAAUACGCUAGUUUUGUACUGGUUCAUGAUCCAUAUAAAUAGGCUUUGCCCUUCACUUCACGUAGGCCUUUUUCGCUCAUGAAUCACCAUCCAACCCAUACACUAGAAUCUAGAUUUUGACCCAAUAAAAAUAAAUAUAUUUUUAUAUUUACAUGUUUGGGUUUGUGCUUAAACAUUUUUUUCUUUUUCUAUUUUCCUUUUUUUUUUCACUUCCUUAGAAAGUUAUGUUUGCUUUGGAUACGCAUGACAAAUAAAUAUGGUCGUUGUUUUUGAUGAUUUGAAUUGAAGACCGAAGUCGACAUCAAAGUGAAUUUAAAAAUUGAGUUCAAUUAAAUUCAACAUAAAAAGACAUAGAACCCACUAGAGUCAUUAAACUCACGAAAGACAUAAAGUUCACAAAACACAACAGAGACUUGAAAAACCCUAAGAUAAAGAACAGGGAAAUGCUACACCACUCAAAACCCACGAGCGACGCCAUCAAUGCAAGACCACAACCCCCGAAGAGAAAACGAUAACCAAAGCUACAAAUAGAAAAUGGUGGUAAAUAUGAUUGUUGUCUGAAUCUUAAUCCUAUAUUUGUCCGUAUAUAUUUGUCGGAAUCUCAAUGUACUUAAUGUACUUAAUUAAUGGUUCAGAUUGAAAACAACGUAUUUGUCGGUAUAUCUGUGUCCUACUUAUUAAACCAAAUCCAUAUCCUGAUCUUACUGGUGAUGCAGUAAUGUAAUGGAAGAGUACCAAAUGGAGAUGAAGGGACUUGCUGCAAAACUGAUAGAGCUCAUGCUUCGAUCAUUGGGCUUGAACAAUGAAGAUGUCAAAUGGCUCAGACAUCCUCGGUCCUUGCUUCAACUCAACUCAUACCCCGUCUGCCCAGACCCGACCCGGGCCAUGGGCCUAGCCCCUCACACAGACUCCUCAUUGCUCACUUUGCUAUACCAGACCACUACAGGCGGCCUGCAAGUCCUUGUGGACGGGGUUUCGUGGGCGCCGGUGUACCCAACUGCCGGUGCGCUGGUUGUCAACGUCGGGGAUUUAAUGCACAUACUAUCCAACGGAUGUUUCAAGAGUGUAGUCCAUCGUGCCAUUGUCAACAAAGUGCACCAUCGCAUCUCCAUCGCAUACUUCUACGGCCCACCAUGGGAUGUGAAGAUAUCGCCGUUGAUGAAAUUGAUCGAUCACAAUCAUCCACCUCUCUAUCAGCCGGUAACUUGGAAGGAGUACCUUGGUUACAAGGCAACGCACUUCAACAAGGCGCUUGAACUCAUCCGGAAUGAUGGAGGAGAAAUACAAGCCAACUAGCUAGCAUUCAUCUUUGAUUUCAACUCAUCUUUGGUUUGGCUGAUUGUACAUGUAAUUUGUAAAAUGAAAUGGUUGAUUAGGUAAAAUAAAACAUUCGGCUAUCUUUAAGACUGCCUUCAUAUACGUUUCGUCUAGCAAAAUAUCAUUUACAUUAUAAGCCCCUGUGAGUUGAAAGAGAUCCUUUUGAUCAAGUUUGACAUCGUUAGGCUGGUUGGCCUUGGUCUUGGUCCAACAAAAUUCUUCUAUGGGUUAACUGGGGCUGGGUUAAAAUCUAAAACCCUUUUACCAUACGCUAAAAAGAUAACCAGAUAAAGAACAAACAAAAGCAUCAAAUUGCUGUCUCCUUUGGGAUGUGGUAAUGGAGAAGGUAAACCAUUUUCAAGAUAAAACGAUACAACUUUGUCACUUCCAGAGCUUGACGAACUUGUCGUGGCUAGCGGAAGCAACCAACCCGGUAGCAUCUGAUACCGCCAAAGAAGAUACUAGCUUGUCAUGAGCAUGCAGAGUCAUUGUCUUGUUCUCGGUCAUGUUCCAAAGCUCCAAAGUCUGAAAUCCCACCAUUGCAUAUCAAAAACAAAACCUCACUAAGCAUCUUCAACAAGAGCAAGUCACCGGGUAACAAGUUCAUCUUUAAUGUAAAGAGAAGUAGAGCAGUAUAGCUUACCUCAUAGCAGCCAAUGACCAACAAUGAAGGACAAGUUGGAUGGAAAACACAUGUAUUAAAUUUGUUGCCAGAACAGCUCAACUCAUGAAUGCAUUCCCCUCUGGCGCUGGAGACAACUGACCACACUCUAACCAAGUCAUCACUCACUGAUGCUAGAAAGUCACCAGAAGGAUCCCAGCACACAGAAUGGACAAGGUUCUUAUGGCCCUACAAUUAAUAGCACAAGAUAUAAAUCAGAAAGCAUUCAUGAUGAACAACAGCACAUGAAUCGCAUCAAAGUAAACAUGUAUUAGUGGGUUCUUACUGAUAACCACUUCAUUCAAGCCCAAAUGUGGACACAACUAGUAAGUGCCCAUUCCAAAAAUAAAGUUAAAAAAAUUAGUACUACAAAUGUUAAGAAGUAAUGGGAAGUUCAGAAGAAACCUGUAAUUUACGCACGCAAGCUUGCGUCUCGACAUCAAGGAUGGAUACAAAAUUAUCAGCUGCAGCUGCAAGGUUUCUUCCAGCUUUGGGUUGAAACCUCAUCUGAGUUGCACCACCCUGAAAAAUAUAGGUAAUAUUAUCAAAUGCCAAAGGAUUUACUAAACAGAGAAACAGAAUUCUAGUAUUCCCUAUAUAGUAUAGACAAAUUAACCUUGAAACAAAUUAACCUUGAAAGGAUUUACUAAACAGAGAAACAAGAUUUACCUUGAAAACUCCAGCACAACUACCAUUCUUGAUACUCCAGUAUCGUAUCUCACUGUUGUUAUCACAAGAGCAGAGAAGGUCCUCUUUACUAGGGUGGAAGUCCACUGACAUAACAGUUGUAGAAUGCCCCACAAAAGUACGGAGUGAAUAUCCAGGCUGCACAACAUUUUUUUAUGGAUUCAUUACAUAGAUGAAAUAAGAAUCGAGGGUUCAGUAAUUUAGUGAUGACAGUUCAGUAGUAAUGUAUAAAUUUGAAGAUUAAAAAUGAAAAGUCAGUCAAAAAUAACAUGAUGUAGCAUUGAGGGAAAAACAAAAAACACAUUGACUAACAUUAUCAGCAUCCCAAACCCUGACAGUUUUGUCAGCAGAAGAUGUAGCAAGCCUUGACAUGCUAGGACUAAAACGAACAUCGGUUAUCCAUUGAGAAUGCUCUUCAAGUGUAGACUUUACAGUAUAGGACUCAGUACACCACAAUACAGCCUGCACCAUAAAAUAAUCAAGUAAUCAUGACUACUUUGUGUUUCUAUAAGCCAUAAGAUUAACUGAAACAGUAUCAAAACGUCCAUCAUUCAUAUUCGCAGCACUUUUCCUUUUUUUAAAACUAGAUAGUAAGAUAAGUUUGGUCAUGCACAGAGCCCAUAUGAAAAAUUCAAUCUUCCUAGGCCUACCUUUCGGUCAUGCCCACCAGUGGCAAGUGAUUUUCCAUCUGAAGAGAAGUGACAGCAUUCAACUUUACUUGUACUUGCAGGAAUAAGAUGGACUUCCGUAAAAGUGAAACCUAAUUUCAUCAAGAAAAUGUUAAAGCCUUUUGCUAUAUUUCUAGUAUAAUAUAAGACCAAGCCAUAUACAUCUCGUGACAUAAAUAACAAAGUUUAUCAAUGUCAGAUAUUUGCAUUCUUCGUACCUUUGCUGACAUCUGAACAGCGAGCAACUCUACCUCUAGGGUCAGCAUCAUCAUGUGAUAAGAACGAUUCAACAUUAUCCUCUAAAGAUCCAUCAUCCACAAAACGGUCCACAUCAGUCUGCAAUACAUAGCUUAGUUACUGACUGCCAAUGGAGUUCUAGGAACAAUCACUCACAAGUAAACACUUUGUGCUUUAUCACAAAGAGCACACUAACCUUAAUAUGAAAAUCACAUAUGAGGCAAGCCUAAGCCUAAAAGCAUAAUCGACCCACUAGGGCAUAGCAACAGGGAGAAAAGUGGAAAUUUGGUUUAACAUUUCUCCAUCCAAUGAAUUAUCCACAUUUGGUAACUCAAGCACACUCUAGUCCGUACCAUUUAAGUUACUAAGAGGAGCAGGGACAUAGUAAGAAAAUAAUGAAACAUUGCACCUUUCUACCCCCUUGAGGUAAACUCUGUUCUUUUCCUUCUCAGCAAUGGCACAUUUUUUAUGGAUGGAAAAGUUAGAUAGGAAAUCAAUUGAACCCACUGGAGCAAAUGCGAAUCAAGUUUGAAGCACUCAUCAGUGAAAUGUUACAGAUUGUGACUCCAAAUCAAGUCACCUUAAAUGCAAUCAAUACAAAGAAGUUAGACAUAACAAUGAUAAGUUUCUAACCAAUUUAUUUUGCGCUGAUGCAAGUGAGCCCAAACCAUCAGAGCCAAACAUAAGUAGAGACUUUGAGGAACCACCAUUAUGGGAUAAAGUUGGCAUAGACAUUACAUCUCCUGGUGUGUGGGUAGAAGGCGUUGAAGGUGAACUGGGAGAUGGUCCUGUGGUAUUAACAGUCCCUGAGCUAUUGGCAGGACCUGAAGAUGACACUGGCUGCUUUCUCUUUCGCCCAAUUUGAUUCUUUGAAGCCUUAAACCAGGAAAACAAAAUGAGAAAAGCAACCCGGAUAUAACAAUUUUCAACACUGAUGAAGUUCACAGCGAAAAUAAAGACUAAAGACAAUUGACUCUGAAAAUAUGAUUAAAUUCAAGUUUUAAUAUUAUAAUAAAAGUUAUAUAGGUGAAAAGGUAACGAAUGUAAAAUAUCAAAUGUGAAAAAAGCAUAUGUCAUGUAUCAAUAGUUUAGGAUUUGUGAAAAUUAGGAUAUGCAAAAAUCUCCAGGACAUGUGGAUAUAUUUGUAAAACACUUUGCUGCAAGAUCAAGUUGGAAAAAAGAAGAAAGAGAUAAUAAAAAGAACAUAUAGCUUCAUAAAGUUUGAAUCCGAUAGCCAGUAAUAGAAAACCUGAUCAUUCCCUUGUAAGGUGUUAGCCAUGCUGCCAUCUGCCACAAUGCCACCAGAACCAAUAAUUUUUUCUUGCUGCUGUAGGUGUUGGCUUGAACUCUGAGAUUGUUGACUUGAAAGCGGAUGCUGCGAAUACUGUUGCUGCUGUUGAUUGUUGCUUUGCAUCUGCUGUUGCUGUAACUGAUAAGUUGGCUACUCAUAUAAGCAAAUAUAUAUGGGAAGCUUAAAGUUCACAAGAUCCUAAUGAUACUAGCUAAAACAAUGAGUUUUCUUAAAUCCAGAUGUAGAAGAAGAAAUGAUACCUUCAUAAUCAUAUCGGCAUCCGCACGAGGUAAUACCGGGCAACCAACUUGUACUGGUGAUCCAACGUUAGAUACGUCAACAGAAUUUAGUUGACCAUCCUUCCCGAGACCCGUAUUUUGAUUGUUGAGAAGCAUUCUCAGCCUUCUACUGUCCAAGUCAUUGGCAGAUGGGGAAGCCAGAUUUUGUUGUGCAAGCAUAAGUUGCUGCUGUAGCUGAAGUUGAUUGAAGGGUUGAGGGGACUGCAUCAUAGACGUUUGCUGCUGAAGAAUCCCAGAUCGAAACCGAUCAAAUCCCUAAAAAGGUGAGAUGUUAUCAGAAAAGAAACUAUAAACUCAAAAAUGCAGAUGCUAACAAGCCAGUUUCGUCUUUGGCAGCAUGGGUAGUUGGCAAAAAUGCUCUUCGUUUAUUUGCUUACAUUUAAAAUCAUGUUGUCUUCUUAUCAGUAAUGCCAAUGGAAUGUGGCAUCAAAUAUUGCUGAGCACACUUUAUACAACCAACUUGAACAAGUUUCCAUUUCAAGAUAUUACCCUCAUCUUUUUAAGGUGUUAUUUCAGUUUUCCUUCAACAACAAGAUGUCAAUAUAAAACCAGACUUCACUAAUAAUAGGUCAUAAAAUCUUGCACAAAACAGAAAACAUGUUUCUCAAGUGGUGUUACAUAUUUUUAGUAAAAACAAAAAAUGAGAGAGAGAGAGAGAGAGAGAGUGAUAUUAAUAUGUAUAUCUAAAAGAAGAAGAUUAAUUGUUAAUCAUCCUUAACCUUUAGGUGUAUGGUAUUCUUAAUUCAAUGCCUUAAGAAUAUAGCAUUUCCUCUAAAAAUUUCACCCAUCAAGUACUCCAUUUUCUGUUUGACUUAACACUAUAGUUAGCUAUUGGCCACAGAAUAGCCCAAGGACCAAACAGAAAACAUAAAUUAGAAUCAUAUCAAGUGGAGGGGGGGGGGAGAGAGAGAGAGAGAAUGAUACUCAUAUGUAUAUCUAAAAGAAGAAGAUUAAUUUUUAAUCAUCCUUAACCUUUAGGUGUAUGGUAUUCUUAAUUCAAUGCCUUAAGAAUAUAGCAUUUCCUCUAAAAAUUUCACCCAUCAAGUACUCCAUUUUCUGUUUGACUUAACACUAUAGUUAGCUAUUGGCCACAGAAUAGCCCAAGGACCAAACAGAAAACAUAAAUUAGAAUCAUAUCAAGUGGAGGGGGGAUGCAAAAGUAAUAUCAACACUGGGUAUUUAGUUCUACCGUUAAAGGCCAUCCUUUCAGAGUCAAAUUGUUACUGCCUUGAUUUGAUCCUGAAAUGAACAUAUGAAUCAUUCAUAGGAGAUAAAUAGAUACCAGAAAUAAAUUCAAAGAGCUUUUGAACGUUUACAAUUUUCUUAUUUAUCUGUUCAAGUUUCACACCCAAAACCCACCCAGAAAUUCCCCGUACAGAAUAAAAAAAACACAAUAUUAAUCGAUACCAUGAGCGCCAAUCAAUGAUCCUUCUGGAGCAGCAGCUCUGGGGUUCAUCAUCUCAGUCUUUAUGUCCUGUUUCAUCAUUCAAAGGAAACCCAAAAUAAGAAAAAUCAACCUGUAUGGAUAAAAAACGAAGUAUGAAACAGAUCGCUGAUGAUAAUCACCUGUGUCGAACCAGGAAGUUGCUGACUCCGGUUGUGAGCUUGUUGAAGAUUCCCCAACAUACCUCCAGGUGUACCAUGCAGCAUUUGACUGUCAGGAAGGAGUUCAACCACUUUCAUAUUAAGCAUCAAUUGCACACAAAGAGCAUGUGUUACACCACAAUGCUGAGUAAUGGUAAAUAUGGAAUCUUCAAGAGAAAUACCGAGGAGGCUGGCCACCUGUAGUGGCGGCUUUCAACAAUGAGGCAUGAUUGGAAUCCAGAAGCUGACUCACAUUAUCACCUAAUCUUUGCUGCAUGGUGUACGUAUUGUGAGUUGAUGAAUAGAUGAAAGGAAUCUAAAAUAUAAAGAACUUCUUUGAAUCUAUGGAAAAACUUAUUACCUUGAUAGCUGCAUCAUCCAAACCAUCCCUCUGUAUUGGAAGCUUUAAUCUCUCUUCAUACAUUUUUGUUGCCAUUGAAUUAGCAGUUGCAGGGUUCUGCCUCAAAAGAGGGUCAUUGCCAACAAGCCCAUUGGCAGUGCCAUUUAGAAGCUGGGUCCCAUCUCGACGCUGCUGUUGCUGCUGUUGCUGCUGCUGCUGCUGCUGUUGUUGUUGCUGCUGCUGCUGCUGUUGCUGCUGUUGCUGCUGUUGCUGCUGUUGCUGCUGUUGAUGCCUCUGUAACAACUGCUGCUGCAUUUGCAUUUGCAUUUGCUGUUGCGGCUGAGGCUUCUGCUGCUGAUGUUGCUGCUGCAGCUCCCUCGCCUUCAUCACUUGAGUCUAACACAUCCAAACAAACAGUGAAACAUUUCAAAUAGAGAGAAGUCCAAACAAUUCCAUCUAUAUUUAUGAAUUGAAAGAAAAAACGUCAGAGCCAAGGUUGAAGUCCAAUAGAAGUCCGCACCUCAAUGUAAGAUGCAGCUGCUUCUGAGUGCUUCUCAUUCGUCCUAGCAAUAAAUAUGUCCCAAAAGACAGACCACCAUUCGAAAAGAAAGCCACCAGGUGCAUCAAUAGCUGGAGCAAGAGUAAAAUCAAAGAAAUGUAAAUAAAUUCAGAUAUACAAUUCGCAGUAUGCAGUGCAUCUCUUUUCUUUGGCAUAUAUACUUACCUACAGGAUCUGUAGACACUUUUCCUUCAUCUUGAAAUGCCUUUGCAGAAGCAUGUAAUUUUCUCUUCAUAAGGUAAUCAUAUAUAUACACAUCCAACCUGUGAUCCAAACAAAUUAUAAAACUUCCACAUUUCAGGAGUCCAAAAAACUUUAACUUCUGAAAAUUAACAUUGGAAGAAGGUCCACAAUGCAAAAACAUAAAAUCUGAUACGAUGCUAAUCCACCAAUCCAGUGACAAGAAAACGAAUGAAAAUAUUAAACAUUACAAUCAUUGAAACAAAUUCUUCUCACUAAUUAAGUUUUUUCUGUCAAGCUUAGUUGAAGCGAAUUAUUUAUUUUCUAGAACAAACUGAAUCAAACAUGAGAUUCAAAAUUGAAGUUCUUUUAAGAAAGUCCUCAACAUCAAAAGACAUGUACAACAACAACAGCUUUUUGGAUCUACAAUGUCACCCAUAUUUUGGGAGGAGAAAACAAGUAACUCAGCUCGUGUGUUGUUAGUUGAGGAAAAAAACUCAAAUUUACCGAAACGCAAAACAAUACAAAAUAGAAGACUGAAAAGUUAAGGGCCCGUUUGAAAACCAUUUCAAUUUUAGUUUUUAGUUUUUAGUUUUCAUUUUUGUGCUAGAGUAUAGAGGAGAAGCAUNNNNNNNNNNNNNNNNNNNNNNNNNNNNNNNNNNNNNNNNNNNNNNNNNNNNNNNNNNNNNNNNNNNNNNNNNNNNNNNNNNNNNNNNNNNNNNNNNNNNGGUAGUGAUGGCUUUCUGUUGGACCUCCCUCCCAUCCUCCCCUCUCAUCCUCUCUCUCCAUCUCAUCCUCACUCCCAUUCUCACUCUCAUUUUCCUCUAUACUCUAGCACAAAAAAUGAAAACUAAAAACUAAAACUGAAAUGGUUAUCAAACGGGCCCUAAAUUUCUUUCCUCUUUUCCUGUUUUUUUUCUGGAGCAGGGAAAAAUAUGAGACAACUGCAGAUACAAAGAUUCAUCCAAAUAAACAACACCCCAUCUCAACCCUCAAUCCAAUCAAACAAACGUCACAAGCAAAGCUUGGAAAAAUAAAAGAAGGAAGAACGGAAAGAAAACACAAAGCCAGGCAACAACAAGAAGCAUGAAUAUAUUCAUAUACGAAAAUAUGGAAGAUAUCUCAACAGCAACAGAGCCUUUCAAAAACAUGUAAAAAGCAAAGUACCCAUUACAGAAUAAGGUCACAAAAAUCCAAACCAGAGAGACCAAAUCGAGCCCCAAAAAACGACACAAAUUUUGCACAAGCCAACAGCAAAGGCAACAACUUACCCAGCCUCAAUAAGCUUGAAUGUUAUUCUUUAAAAGAAAUAAUUAAAACGAAGAAAAGGCGGAAAAUUGAACACUAAAGAAAUACCCGUUUGAACAAAGAUAACAAAGAUAACAAAAACAACAGUACCCACCAAAACUGAACACUGAAGAAAGAACCCUAGAACCAAAAGCUCACUACAAAUCCCCAAAAUACAAGUGGCUACUACCAUGACAACAGCAAAACGAAGAAAAGGCAGAAAAUAUCAGGACCAAAGUAACGUUAAAAGAAACAAGACGAAGUAAAAAGUACUUACAUUUUAUCAGCUUCCCAAUUGGUCUGACUCUGAGACAUGAUUCUGAGAUUAACAGCAAGAGCAAUUUGUAUGUAAAUCCGAAGCCUUCGACACUUAGCAGAUAACGAAGUCGAAUGUCGGAGAAAUUGUGUUAAAAUGCUCAGGGUCCUGUCUUCUGCUCUUCGGAAGCAGAUGGAAGUUUUUGUUUUGUUUUCUCCUUCACUCUACUUGAAAGUUGAAGACGAUAACCUCCUCUUUCAAUACUAAAAUAAUAUUUUUCAUUUUUGUGGUUUUUUUUUUAUCUUUAUCUUUUUCUCUUUUUUUGUUUUUACUUUCCUUUAGAUUAUUUUUAUGAGUUUUUUUCUUCUUUUGUUUUUAGCAGGCGUAGUGCUCCUUCUUCUCACUCUUCAAUUCUAAAAUGUCACGCAACCGGUGCAUAAGAUGGUUGGCAUUCACUUAUAUUUAUUUUUUCUUUAAAAUUUUUUUUGAAUUUUUUUUUUCUUUGCCAAGCUUUUAUUAACUUGGUUGGCAAGUAAUGCAUGCAUUUUAAAAUUAAAUCAUUCCUAAUCUACAUCUCUAAUCUGUAAUGUAAAUGGUUUCCUUUUCUAUAAUUUAAGUUGUGUUUAUCUUGAUGUAUUACUUUAAUACAAUGUAUGUUUAUUCUCCUUAUCUUAGCUUUAAACAUAAACGAAUUAAGUGAGCAUUUCUUAUUAAAAUAAAUUAUCACAACUAUUUAGUUUACCAUUCUCUGUAUGUUUCUCAGAUGCUCAAGCAUAUUCAUCAUUAGAGUUUAUUUGGGAGUGAUUCUGAAUAAGCUACAAUCACUUUUAAGAAAAUUCACCUCUUAUCUGCUUCUCUAUUAAAUCAUCUAAAAUUAUUAUAUGAACAAGUGAUUCUCCAUAGAAGAACUUCUAGUUCAUAUUGUUAUAAAAGGAGAAUUGUGCAGAACAAAUAUUAACAUAACACUUGACUUUUUUUUGCUUCAUUUUAUAUUGAUUGGUUAUUGGCAGACUAAUAAGCAAAUGAUGUUUUUUUUUUUUUUUCCAAUGCAGCUUUGUUUGUUUGGUAACGAUUUUUUUCUACGGUCGUAGGACGCUUAAAGAGGUCAAAAUAGAUCAGAAUAAGUUUGGCGUGACCCGCUCUUUUUCAUCUUCUGGCUUUGUAAAGUCUGCAUAUCACAUCACGGAUUGCUUGAUAAUAUUUACUGCCAAAUUGUCUUUAUUGGUGCCAGAAUAAAAAAAGUUCGACAGGCUUUGCAGUUUGCUGCAAAGUCACAGAGAGUCAGAGAAAGGUGGUUGGGAAAAUUCCAAGUCUUUAUCUUUUUUAACGCACCAAAUCUCUUAUUUAAUGUUAUGAUUGAAGACCCUAUUCGUUCAUUUUGUUGUGAUUAAAUCAUGAGCAUCAUUAGCUGGUGCAAAUGCUAAAAGAAGAGAAUAAUUUUCAAUUCUAAUUUCCUGAAACAAGAUCAUGCCUAAUCCCAAAACUGAUAUAUGAACCGAGUUGUGUUUCGACCCCACAAAAAAAAAAAAAACGCCUAGUUGUGUACAAAAUUUGCCAUAAAACAGAAGGUUGAAUAGAGGCACUACCUCCAAUGUGCCUCCUGUAAGGCCUUUUUCUAGAACGAGGAGAUUCCUGUGAUGCAAAUAUGACUUUCUAAUAAAAAAAAGUUAACCAUCUCUUUCUACCAAGCAAUUAUUAUAGAAAGAAAGGGUACCAAGACAAAAAAGACACAAAAGAAGGCCAUGAUUUCUCCAAUUAUUCUUUGAAAUCAUCCUUGUCAUCAACAGGAAUUGGUGUGUUUCUCCAAAACACAGCAAGAGCACUCCCACCGAGCUGUUAGGAAGACAAUUAUGACAGUAAAUUAGAGUGUACUUGGGUUAACUCAAAGGAAAGCUAAGAAAGAAAAAGGAGAUUUUAAGAGAGUCAUACCGCCAUGCAAACAACACUAACAGCAGAAGGGACAGCUACAAGAGGGUUUGUAAAAUGCUUUUGAGCAAGUAAAAACCCAAGUGCUGAGCUCUGCAAAUGAAAUUAUCAAGAACGUAAAUUAGAGGUUACUUUAAUUUAUCUAACAAUUUCAGGUUUGUCAAGAUUAACACAUCCAGUAAAAGUUCAGUAUACAAAUGGAAUUCAUGAUUUGCAAGACGUCAGAGAUCAGAUGAACUUGUUCAACCUUGACAAACUCCUUGUAAAAUCAGUAUGGAAAUACUAACUGAGAAGUUGUUUACCUGCAUCCCACACUCUAUGGAUAUGGUACGAGAAGUAGAUUCACCAAAUGAUAUUUUUGAAACAAAAUAACCAAUAGCAAAUGCAGCACCAUGUAGAACAGCCACCGGGAGUAUUAGUUGUGCUCCUUGUGUUUUCAAGACUUCAGAAACUUGCCCGAUCUUAAAAAAUGUAAGAAUUCAAGUUACCCCAUUAGAUGCAAUGUAACUUCAUGAAAUCACAAAAGCUAUCGAUAUGGAAUAGUCAACUCAGUUAAUAUUUUGUGACUUACCGGGCUUGCACAGAGUAGAGUGGUGAGAAUUACUCCAAUUAAAGGAGUCACUGAGGCUAUUUUUGAAGUGACUUUGGGGAAGAACUCAUUUGCCAGCACUGUCACAUAAAGCAGGGAGCAGAGUUUUGAUUAUGAAUGUAAGUCCAGAUAUUGGAAAUAAGCUGUGGUUUGCGAUAAUUGAUUUUCAGAUUCUGAUGGUAACUAUAAAAUAUUUUAGUUACCUCCAACAAUUGUUGGCAUUAAAACAACCUGGAAAGUGCUGAUUGCUAGGCCCUGCAAAGAUGGUGGGAGAAAAUAUCACUGUCAUAAGUGGUAAUACAAGAUAUCAAUGUCACAUGAUUAAUGUAUUAGGUGUCAUAAUUAUGUCUUUUGGAUUCCUAAGUGUAUUAAUGUGGAUCUUUCAAGAUUCAUGUACCAAUUAUCCUAUAAAAGGGGCUACUUUGUAAGCUUUUAAAAUAAGAGUUAGUGAAAGAAAAACAGUUAUUUUCAACUCCAACUUGUGUGUGAGGCGCGAGUUGACUUGGAGUGAAUCCAAGGCACCUUCGGUGUGAUGCCGAAAUUUUUCUAAUUUCUCUAUUGGACACUUUUGGUGCAAUGCCAAAGGCGAAGUGAGUCCGGAUCUCUUUAUUUUUUUCCUAUCUGAUCAUGUUGUCCUACAUCAGUCAACAUGUUUGAACUUACCGCAGCAUCAACUGGAACAAGCUGGCCAGCAAGAAGCUUGGUAAGAAGCGGUGUCAUAAUAAUAGCUCCUAUUGUUGAACACCUACAAAAUUCCACAAAAUAAUCACAUUAAGAUGUAGUAAAGACUCUUGCUUUUUGUUUUAUAAUAUAAAUUUCGGUAACAGUCAUUACCAUUAUAGAUAGUAUGCAAUCGCAUUUCCAAGGUAGCAUAUAUUUGGGACAGAAAAUCCUAACUGCCUUGAAUUAACCUUAUGUUCUAAACAUUCUGAAUAUAGUUCUCUGAUUUUAAAUUGCAUUUGAGUGCAUAUGACUUACGUUGUCAUGAGAACAGAAAGUGCAACAUUUCCUUUAGAUAUAUAAGUUGCAACAUUUGACGCCUGACCACCAGGACAGCAUGAGACCAAGAUAAGACCAGUCGCAAUAGGUGCAGAAAGUUUUAGCGUCUGAAAAUCAGAGAGGAAAUCUUAGAUAACAUAUAUGUUUAAUCAAUACUACCAUUGCAUCCAAACACUAUUAAAAGGCAUGUGGUUAUCCAUAAACUUAUCCAGUCAACCUGCCCUUUUUUUUGGUAAUACAAGAGAGGAUCUUCGAAUAUGGAUGGGCGGUAAACAUGAGCUUUUUAGUUAAAGUCUGAAUUGAGCAAAUAUUUUAUGUAUGUGUAAAACCUGCUUUUCUAAUUCUGUUAUCAUGAACUUGAAUGGUAAAGGACAAAUUCUAUAAGAAAUUAAUAUAUUUCAAUAGUAAAUUACACGACAGCCCACAAAAAUUUUGAAGAAGAAAUACCAGGGCAAUGACAAAGCCUAGCAGAGGUUUUAUCAUGUACUGUGCAAGAAAUCCUACACCCACCUGCAAUAAAAAAAAUUCAACACCAUUUAAUAAUAGAUCAUUCUGUUUUCGAAAGUGUCCGGCGACUUAAAUUUGAGUGGAUGUUACUCACAGUCCAAGGAUUACGUAAACAUCGUCUAAAAUCCUCGAAGGUCAAUGUCAAACCCAUAGAAAGCAUGAGGAAACCCAGUCCAAGUGUGAAAAGGUCUGUCUCCAACCAAGUUACCUGCAGGAACCCCAACAAUAAGCUAGUUAUACACUAGUUGAUAUGCCACAUAUUGAAGUAGCAGGCAAAGAAAUAUUACAGCAGAUGGCUUGUAGAUCCCCAGGAUGGUGCCCAAUAUGACCUGUCCGUGGAAUUAGAUUUAGAAUGUGAAAGUGUUCCUUGAGAAAGCUUUGUUUAAAAUAGACACAGAAGUAAGCAAUUAAGAAGUAUCGAAAAUGAGAAACUGAAUAACAGUUUCAAAUUUUUAUAGGGUUGAAAUGUAAUACCUACCCACACAGGAAAUAGAGUUGUCAAAGUUUCAAUUAUUCUCUCGUACUGGCUCAUCCCACUAGAAGUGCUACCGGGAAGAUCUCCAGAUAAAUUUCUUGCAGCCUUGCACAAAACUUCAGAGUUCCUACAUAUAGCCGCCAACAAGCUGGUCAUAAUGUAUAGAGAAUGUGGAAUUGGUUGUUCAUUAACCAGGAAGUGCAGAAUAUUAAGUAAAGAUAAUAAUGCUUGAAAAGGGCAACCAUCUCUAUAAAUAGUUGGCUAAAACGAGGACACAGACCGGACAGUAUAUGGUUUAGAGCAUUACUGGUAAAUGGUUAUCUGCUGGUGUAAAGCUUGAGACCAGUUCCCUAAUCAAGUGAGGGCUGUCUCUUCUCCUAUUGGUGUAAAUAAAGCACAUCAAUAUAUGCUUUUCCACAUUCUCCUCCAAGACUAAAAAUUUCCCAUUGCCUAUUCCACUAUUGUUCCCUCCAGCAUUAACCAGUAAUGCUUGUGCAUGAUCACAUUGAUAUAUUAACUUUUCUUUCAUCAAAGACGUAUCAAACAGAGUAAAGAAGAACUUGAAAGCAAAACACGAUGUUCGGAAGGAAAAAAAACACCUUGAUUUGGAUUGCAAAACGAUGGGACUCCAUGGCUUGCUUUGGAUUGCACAACUUCUUCCAUUCUCAGGCACAGAAAGAUCUAUACAACAAUCAAUGUCAGAAAACAAAAGUUUGAAACAGAGGGAAAGAGAAGAAAUGUCAGUCCCCACAAAAUGGGAACACGAAAUUGAGUAAAUUUGAAGUCCCAAAGCACAGAAUUUUAUAUAUAAAAAAACAACAAAAGAAACAGAACCCAAUUGCCAGAAGCCGAUAAAAUCACUAGCCAGAAAGAAUAAGCAUUGAAACCAAGCAUGAAUUGAAUUACACGUACCCAGAUGAGUUUGCAGCCUCCUUGCAGAUAGAGAAGAGCUUGGCCUGCAGAAAGCGUCACAUGUUCUUAACUUGAAAUCCUUUACAGAAAAUCUAGACAUGGACGACAUUGAAUCGAACUUGUGAUUCGAUCAAGAGGGAGGAGAUCAAAGGAGCACUGGGUUUAAGCUAAAAUUUCAAAAGGUGGUAAGCAUGGGGUUUUUGGAUGUGUUGGUGGGGUUUUCACAGGAAGCUUGCCUCCAAAAUGCUUGGCUCGGCUAUGUGUUGUGGGCAGUCGUGGAAACCGAUGAGCCACACAUAUCUAUACGUAUCUCAUCCAAAUCUUUUAGGUAUAAAAAAGAAAAACCAAUUGGAUUGUCGUUGGAUUGAAAAUCACAGUUUAUGCAGGCUUGGAGCUCGCGCAAUUUUCUCUUGACUGGGAAAUAAAAUUACAGAGAAGAGCUCGCAGCAACAUGAGCAGUAAGUGUAACAGAAAGUUAAAAGCUUUUGACUUUCAGUGUUUUCACUUUAAAAAAAUAAAAAAUACCACAUUUGACCCGAAUUUUGUGUCAAAGUAUAUAUAAUAAUACCUAGCCUUUUGGUAAAUUCGAACCCAAAAUAUUUGUACUUUAUGAUUCAUUCAUCUAGAGAAGUGAUAAUUUGUUGAUAAGAUUAAAAACCAUUUUAACGGACUAUAAAGUUAUAAACACACUCUUAAAAUCAAAUAUAAUUACAAUGUUUGGAAAAUUAUUGAAAACUAAUUUUUUUUUUAUUACACAUAGUUUAACUAUAAGGGGAGGGACCCCGUUGGCUUUUGAAAACUAAAUUUAAGUGCGAGUCAACUGUAAUUUUCUAAAACAUAAAAAUUAUAGUCACGCUCACUCCUAACUAAAUAACAGCAAGCAACACCUAGUAAAGAAAUUAUAAUUAUUAAAUUUUGAAAAAUUAAAAAAAAUGAAAAUAGUUCUUGCAAAUUGCAAUGUGGGCCUAAAGCGGCCCAUGUUCCAGUUACCAUAGAACGACUCUUUUUUAGUGGCUGGGCCUCUGACAUUUCUGAGUUAACCCAUAUCCAUUGGCGUGGUCUCUCUUGAUGCUCUUCUUUUCUUUCUAUUCUACGAACAAACAAAUUCUUUUAUUUUUCUAAUUUCUACCUACACUGUGAAAAAUUAAGGGUCAUUUUCUCUUUCUUCUGAUUUUAAAUAUUUAGCUGUUCUGAGUGAUUGAUGUUGCAGACAAAAAUUUGUCUUCAUUGAUAUGCUGCUAGCUGUCUCUCUCUUGUUUUCUCACUGCAUUAAAAUCUUCUUCUUGUCAUGGCCCCCUUAUCUGUUGAAGCAAUGGCACUGUGGCAUGGCAUCUGAUUAAUCUACUAGCCUGCACCAGCACCAGCACCAGCACCAGCACCAGCACCAGCACCAGCAGCUAUCUUUCCAAUGACUUUAUUUUUCUGCUUUUGCUCCAUCCUCUCCUCUGUCUGCAACUCUCAACUCAGCCAUUAUAUUAUAUGGUCCUAAAUUUUGAUGAGCAUAAAUUUAAGUAAUUUCUGUGCAGUGAUCAUCAACAUGGGUCUUAUCAAAUGGUCCAACCCAAGAUUGAAGUAUUUUGUGUUUGGCUUCCCAGAAAAUGGACACACCCUUUUUUUUUUCUGACUGAAGGAAAAUCAAAAUCUGGGAAAGUUGGUGGUUGGAUAUGCAUAAUGCAGGAAUAUUGAUUGGGGGCAGCGCCUUAGCAAUAGGAUACACACACAUCCAUGUUCUUGGCUCUCAUUUGAGACACACAUAUAUCCAAGCCUAGUCCAUGGUUCAUGGACCACCUGUUUAAUUUACAUACAAUUACCAUAGUUUGGAUGCCAUGAUUUAUUUCACAGAAUUUGAGGCAUUAGUUAAAACUGGACAGGUUUUGUUUCACCUCCAAAAUAACUUCAUGAAACAUGAUAUCAAAUAUUUAUUUUUUUAUAGCCUAGUAGGAAAGAGUUUUGAUUCGUAAAUUAGUGGUCUUAAAUUCGAAUCUUCAUGGUACCUUAAUUGUGUGUGUGUGUGAGAAACUCUCAUCACUUAUAGUUUAGACUAUCGCUUAUAUAAAAAAUAAAAAUAAAAGCACAAACCCAUAGGCAUUAUUGUACACAAUAUAUCCUAUAUAUUACAAUUUAAAAAGAAAAAACAUGACAAGAUUUAGAUAUUUCAAUCUGAUCUAAUAUAAUUCAGGGUAUUUGAUGUAUCAAUAAUUCAGUGCAGUACAAAAAAGGGUCUAAAUCUAAAAGAAUUGGGACAUAAUAAGAAGAUAAAAAAGAGGCAGUGGCUUUCUCUCUAGUACCAAAUUAAAGUGACACAUUUUGGUCAUAUGCCAUUGCCCAUUGGGUUGCUCAUACACAUUCGUCAUCUAACCUGUCUUCUGAUAACCACUUGAUUUAUCAGAUUUUUUUAUUGUGAUGGCCGUGGGAAUGAGUUGGGGGGGACCGAUUCCAGGCCAAAAGGAAGAUCAUUUUUUGUUUCUGCAUAAAACUUAUCUUUCAAGGCCUCCCAAAAAUCCUUUCAAUUUUUUUUUUUAUUUUUUUAUUUUCUUCAUAUAUUUUCUUCAUAUGCAGCAAUAUUUAUUUUCUUCAUAUAUUAUGCUUUCUGGUGGCCCUAUAUCUAUCCAUGCGCUGGUUUUUAUUCUUCUUUCCGAAUGACAUAUUCAAACGAGCUUGAAAAAGAAAAGAAAAAAUAUUCCCAGCCCAACCCUAUUUCCAGGUCAAUGACAUAUAUAUUUUCAGGGGAAAAGACACACGGAGAAACAGUUUGUAAAUAGUAACGAUAUUUGGCAGAGUGAUUAAUAUCGGUUUAAUCAGAUUUAUGGCAUAAUUAAUAUCUGUUUUGCUAGAAUGAGUUUCUGCAGAGAGAGAGAGAGAGAGAGAGAGAGGAGGACCCAUCUCUCUGUAUAUGGAAGUUGGAAAUGUGUCUUAUGCACAAGCACUUGCUUAAAAAGCAGUUGCAGCAAAGCCCUACUUUCACAUUACUUCUUGGAAGAUUUUGUUUUCAUCAGUGCGUAUUAGUUUGGCCAAAUUGGGUUACGUGGCAGCUUUCUUUGUCAUGAUCAUGAUGUGUUUGAUUUACACUGCAGGAGUAAAAUGUGGAGCAGUGUGUAGUUUAACACUAGUUGGCUUGGCUUUACAAAAAGGAAUUGAAAUAAGCAACUUUUUUCUUCUUUUUUGUAACAUAACAUGUCCUUUUCCCUCGAAUUCCUUCUCAGGCUGCUUUCUCUUGUACCGGGAGGGAGGGUCCAAUGCCAGAUUUAUUUAUCCACCCUCCAAGUGUUAACAUUACCUACCCCUUUCAUCUGUAAUUUUUAAGGCACAUUACUCCUGAUUGAUUGGGUAUCUAAUUAAAGUUUUGUUUCCCUUCAAAUAAUUAUUUGCUUGGAAAGUAAUUAAAUUAAACAGUACCUUACCUUAUUAUGAUACAAUACAAAAGGCAAUUAAUUUUUGCUUACUUGAGUUGGUGAGCAUUGGCAGUUGAGAUUAAUUAUUUACUUCAUCAAAACAUUAAACAAUAAGAAUUUUUUUUGUUAAUUUAAGCAUGACACUCGAUUUGCCAUACCAAACAUACGUGAAAUGCCAAAUACCCCUCCCCUAACAAAGGAAGAAUUACACCAUACAAUACAAUACCAAAUGAUUAAAGAUACUAAAGGGGUACAUAGAAAUCUACAUAUUAAACUCAAUGUGUAAAUUUGAUAUACUUGAUCAUUGCCCUUUAACCAAUCAAAUUUGCUUAAAAACUCAAAUUCAUACAUUUUAAUUUAAUCCAAGCUUGAGCCUCUUAAUACUCAACUAAUUUAAUCCACAAUUCACCACUUGUUUCCUAUAUCAACAAACAAAAUCUAAUGUUUACUAUUAUAGACUGUGGAUCAAUCUAUGAUAAAUUCAGUCAAGAAAAAUGUACUAUGAUAUUUGAUUUUAUAUCUUAAAUUUUUUUUAUAAAAAGGAAUUGGUCAAUCAGUUAGUAGAUGAGUCCCAUAAUAGCCAUGUUAACAGUUAAUAGGUGAUCAUACAAUUUAUGUUUGAGAAUAUUGGUGUAUAAAUUGAUGAAAUUGAAAUCACAAACCCCUAUUAAGUAUUUUUGUUUAUCGAAUAAUUUUGUAGGUUUUUUUUAUUGAUUCACAUCUUUAACUAGCAAGAAUUCUCCAUGAAUAUUUUAAAUACGGCAAGGAAUUUGUGGUUUAAAUUGUUAAGAUAGUUACUCAUACACUGAAGGUAAGGCAUCAUGGUCGAGUCUCUUGUCUCCUAAUAUUUAUCAUAUAUAAAAAAUACCCUCAUAACCGAAAAAAUUGAUUUUUUUUCAUGAAAAACAUAUUAAUAUGUAUAAUAAAUUAAAAGUGUGACGGUUUAAUAUACGAAUUUUUAACCGUCUUCCACCGUAUUAUUAUUAUUUUCUUCACAUAGGCCAAAGGCGAAGGGGCAGAGUCGUCAAGUUGCCACCCGUCACUGCCGCUAAACCAACGCGCCUACCGCCAGAGUCUAGACAAAAUAAAUAAAUAAACGUUUUUUUUUAUUUGUAAUUAAAUUAACAAGGACAAUAAAUUAGUAAUAAAACGUUUCCACUGCUGCCUGCCAGCAAUGCAUAGCAUAGCAUAGCAAAGCAUAUGUGACUGCUGCUGUUUUCUCUCUGCUUUAUUUUCCCCUUUCUUGGCCUCGUGAUACCCUUGUCUUUUACAGCUUACAAAACCCUCUGCCUCUCCCUCUCCCUCUCUCUCCCUCUCUCUCACACACACACAGACACAGACACAGUAGCCAGCUAGUACUCUCUCUCUCUCUCUGAUGGGUUUUCGCCGGAAAACCAUUUAUUGUUUUGUCCAAAACCGCCAUAGCAAACCUCCAUUGAAACCUCGCUCCAUCUAGGGCAUAACCAGAACCAACAAUAAACACCAUUGUUGUUUUCUUCUUUUUUCCUUCAAGGUGUAGAAAAAUGGCAGUGACCAGUAGUGCUAGUGUGGGCUUUAGGUGUGUGGUUGGUUUUCUCGUUACGUUUUUGGUACUGAGUGGCGGGCGAGUCAACUCGGAGCCGACCCAGGACAAGCAAGCCCUCCUUGCGUUUCUCUCCCAGACCCCACACGAGAACCGCGUGCAAUGGAACUCGUCCGUUUCAGCCUGCACCUGGGUCGGGAUCACCUGCGACGCCAACCAGUCCUACGUCUCUGCUCUUCGCCUCCCGGGAGUCGGCCUUGUGGGACCGGUUCCGCCCAACACACUCGGCCGGCUGAGUCAGCUCCGAGUUCUGAGUCUGCGCUCCAACCGCCUCAACGGUCCAAUACCCUCUGAUUUCUCAAACUUAACUCUGCUCCGCAGCCUCUACCUACAAGGCAAUCAGUUUUCCGGCGAGUUCCCGCCCGGGUUGACUCGGUUGGUCCGGUUAACCCGGCUCGAUCUCAGCUCUAACAACUUCACCGGCCCAAUCCCAUUCACCGUCACCAACUUGACCCACUUGACCGGACUUUUCCUUGAAAACAACGAGUUCUCGGGUAGUCUGCCCAGCAUCUCAGCCGGUAAUCUGAGAAGCUUCAACGUCUCCAACAACAAACUCAACGGCUCAAUCCCCGCGUCCCUAUCCAAGUUCCCUGACUCCGCAUUCACCGGAAACUUAAAUCUCUGCGGCAAGCCGCUUACAGCGUGCAACCCAUUUUUCCCAGCACCCGCUCCAUCACCCUCGACCCCGCCCGUAAUCCCAGUCCACAAGAAGUCCAAGAAGCUAUCCACCGCCGCCAUUGUUGCGAUCGCCGUGGGGUCCGCUCUGGCUUUGUUUCUGUUGCUCCUGGUUCUCCUGCUUUGCAUCCGGAAACGACGUCGUCAGCAGCAGGCUAAGCCCCCGAAGCCGCCGGUGGCGACGCGGUCGGUGGCGGUGGCGGAGGCCGGAACGUCGUCGUCGAAGGACGAUAUCACGGGUGGGUCCACGGAGGCGGAGAGGAACAAGCUAGUGUUCUUCGACGGUGGGGUCUACAGCUUUGACUUGGAGGACCUGUUGAGGGCGUCGGCGGAGGUUUUGGGGAAGGGAAGCGUGGGGACGUCGUACAAGGCGGUGCUGGAAGAAGGGACGACGGUGGUGGUGAAGAGGCUGAAGGACGUGGUGGUGACGAAGAGAGAGUUCGAGAUGCAAAUGGAGGUUCUGGGUAAGAUUAAGCACGAUAAUGUGGUGCCUCUGCGGGCGUUUUACUUCUCCAAGGACGAGAAAUUGCUCGUCUACGAUUACAUGGCCGCCGGUAGCUUGUCUGCUCUUCUUCACGGUACGAUUUCGAUUCCCCAUUUUGCUCUUCAAUUUUCAAUUUUAAUUUUUUUAAAUCUUGGGUCGUUGAUUGAAUUCUUGGUAUAAUUUUUAAUUGGUCGAAAGUCUGAGGGAAUAAAUGUAGUGCUCACAGUCACAGGUAUAUUUGUUUCUUAUAAUAUUAAGUACCUGCAUUGUUGUUUCCCCAAAGAUUAGAUUCGAUUAGAUUAGAGUGGAGCUUGAGCUGUUCCAGUCCAGUCUUCAAAUUUAAAAUUGUCAAUUUAGUAUUUAUUAUUGAGUGCAUAAAUCAGAAAAUUGAAAAGGCAUGUGGAAUCAUUCGUGGCGCAAAUCUUUGAUCCCAGAAAAACCUCUGCUUGUUUACGUUUUCUUUCUAAUCACCGCUCUCCGCGCUGAUUCCACUGUAAUUUUGCUGUUUCUGGGCAAACAUUCUUAGUGUGCAAGCUACGCAAUUCAUGUCUCUGUUUUUUCUUUUUUUUUAAACAAUUAAAAAAUCCCAAUUUGGUAGGGAAAAAAAAACAUGAACAGGUAGGUCGUCAUGAUUCGCCAUGGUGGUGGCCAGUGGUCACCGACACCAUUUUACUUUACUUUCCCUUUCAUUUUUCUGUGUCAAAGCUUUUACUUCUUUUUAGGAAAAGCCGGGGCAGGCCCAAAAAGAGAACGACCGAUCCCCUUUCUUCUUAACCUUCAAUUUUUUUAAAUAACAAAUAAUUUGGUGGCGUAAACAUGAAUUUCCGAUAAUUUUUAUUGCAGGAAGCAGAGGCUCAGGGCGCACGCCGCUCGACUGGGACAACCGGAUGAAAAUCGCGCUAAGCGCUGCGAGAGGCAUAGCGCAUCUCCACGUGUCAGGAAAGGUGGUCCACGGCAACAUUAAAUCCUCCAACAUCCUUCUCCGACCCGAGCACGACGCUUCGGUUUCGGACUUCGGGCUCAACCCGCUAUUCGGAACCUCCACCCCGCCCAAUCGGGUCGCGGGCUAUCGCGCGCCAGAGGUCGUUGAGACUCGCAAGGUCACUUUCAAAUCCGACGUGUACAGUUUUGGUGUGUUGCUGUUAGAGCUAUUAACCGGGAAAGCGCCCAAUCAAGCCUCGCUGGGCGAGGAGGGCAUCGACCUGCCCCGGUGGGUCCAGUCUGUUGUCCGGGAGGAGUGGACCGCUGAGGUGUUCGACGUGGAGCUCAUGAGGUACCACAACAUUGAGGAAGAGAUGGUUCAGCUUUUGCAGAUCGCAAUGGCUUGCGUGUCUACUGUGCCCGAUCAGAGACCCGCCAUGCAAGAGGUGGUCCGUAUGAUUGAGGAUAUGAACCGGGCCGAGACCGAUGAUGGCUUACGGCAGUCGUCCGAUGACCCUUCGAAAGAAUCGAGCGGUCAUACGCCUCCCGCAGAGUCCAGGACCCCACCCAGCGUGACACCCACACCUUAGAAAAUUGUCAAUCCCAAAAAGAAAACAAAAAUGUAAAGGAUCUGAAAUUGAAAGGGGAAAAGAGGCAAUGUGGGUUAUUUCAUUUGUGGUGGGUCUCCUAAAAACGUGCACAGUGCUCAAUUAGGAGGAGGAGGAACUAAAGUGCAUAGUUAAUUGUGGGGUAUUGGGUCUGGUUGGUCCGAUAUCUGGUUUUUUUUUUCCCCUUUUUUUUAAACUUUAGUUUUUGUAUUUUUAAUUUGGGUUUUUUUUUCUUUUUCAAUUUUUGAAUUUGUGUUUUUGCAAUUAUUUUUAUAGGUGGGAGGGAUGGUUUGAAUUGUUUAUGAAGUUGGGGGAAUGAGGUGGGGGUCCGAUUUCCAUGAGCUGAUUGGAAUUGACCAUUCGAUGGACUUUGGGUUUAUUUAAUUCUUUCUUUUUUUCAUAAUUCUAUUAUUCACAAUCCUCUCUCUCUCUCUCUCUCUCUCUCUCUCUUUACACAUGGCUUUUCUUGUUUUCACUUAGUUUUUAUAUUUUGCCCUUUUUAAUUUUAGGGGAUCCAGCUAUACAUUGUACAUGAGAAAGAUUUUCAUAAAACGAGGAUAACACUAUUGCUAUCAUCGGUCAAUAACGUUUUAAUGUCUGUAAUAAUAUUUUUAUAUAAUAUAAUAUUAUUAGUUAAAAAUAAGAAAACAAUAUUAUCUCUGCUGCAACUAAGUUUUUCUCCUAUGUACAGGUAACUGGGUUUUUGAAAAUUUCCUCUGAAAAAAAAAAUAUUUAAAACUCCAAACAAAUACUGGACUGGCUGGACCCAAUAUGUCGAGCAGCAGCACCCAAAAUGAAACAAAAGAAAGAAGAGAGUGGCCGAUGAUUGUACACCGUGCAUGCUGGGGGUCCCACCAAGGAGUAAUUAAUCGAAGGGAGUUCAAAAUGAUUGAAUAUCUGCACCGUCGAGUCCGGGUUCGGCGUUGUAGAAGAAGUUAGUUGUGGGGGAUCAUUUUGGUGGGUUUUGAGGAGGACUUGCCACGUGGCGUAAUGUGUCUCCGUUUACCGGCCCCGGCGAAGGAAUAGGGUGGGGGUGGGGAACAGCCUGGCCGGCUUUUUUACCCACUCGAUCCCUCUCUCUUUCUUUUCCUUUUUCUUUUAUUAUUGUCUGGGUCUCUGACGAGCAGAGAAGAGAGUGUUGACCCCGGCAUUAGAGAUGUCAGCCGUUGAUUCACGAGAUUAAUGGGCCCCACCUCUCUCUCUCAUCCAUCCGUCCAUUCAUCCAGCAUCAUCAGGCAGGGCACAGGGACAGUGAGGGACCCCCGUUUUUCUUUACUAACUUAUCGUCUUUUUUCAUCUUCCUCAAGAAGCAAGAAGCAUCCCCUUCACGCGCCCCCUCUAAAUUUGUGUUUCUGCUACUCGCUAGUGCAGUAUAGUAUAGACUAUGGAGUAAUCUAUUUGAUCCAUUUGUCACGACAACAAUUUUCUAUUAGUCUAAUUGUAUUUUUCCUCCUUGAUAAUGAAAGAGAUCAUUCUCCGUCCUCAAUUAAAAUCAAAAUAAAAAAUUAAGCAAAUAAAAAGGACAUUUAAAAAUUUCAGACCACUUCAGCCAUUAAAAAUUAAAUCAAAAAAGUUGUAUUAUUUCAAAUCAUAUAAAUUCAAACUUCUUAAUACCAAAAGGAAAUUGUCAAACUUCUAACCUUUUUUUUUUCUUUCUCUGGUGGUUGGACAAGCACAUUGAACAAAGCUUGACUAUUCGGACCCUCUUGCUUUGAAUGAUCCUUAAUAUUAGAAAUUUAAAUUCCUACCUCUCUCCCUUUUAAACAUUUUUCAUUUAUUUUGAGGAGAAGUUUUUCGUUCGUUUUAAAGGGUCAAACUUACUUAUAUUACUCAAGCAAGCUCAUCCAAUUUUAUUUUGAAAAAUACUCGCCUUUUUCCCUCUAAAUUAGAACUUCUAUUUUUCAACGAAGGAGGAAAGCAGUGUCGUUUUAGAACUAAGAUAGAAUUACCCUAACCUUGAGCAAGAAAUUGCCCUCCAAAAACUUGAAUCAUAUUCUAAGUUCUAGGCACGUGACUCCGUGAGCCACAUUUUCAUAGUUUGCUGCACCGAAAGUGGACGUUAGCAGGAGCAGCUUGCGGUCGUCGGACACAGAUUUGACUUUUCUUUUUCUUUUUUCACAAUGGCAGUAUUGGCAGUGGGCAAUUCAUUAUUAGCAACAAAGAUUCCUCCCCCUCUUACAGUUUUGUCUCUGGUUUAAUCUUCAAUUAAGUACCACUAAUUACAUUAGCAAAAAGGUAUUCAUGCAACUAAUCAGCAGAUUUGAAGUAUGAAACACUAAUUACUUCGCUAGCUAGUUGAUGAGUUCAUAAGACACAUGUAAAACACAAACAUGAAAUGUGGACCAUCUGAACAUGUGCUGAGGUUUUUGGAGUUCCUUUGGGCCAUGACAUUGACUUGCUACCCUUUAUUUUAUUAUUUUUAUUUAACUUUGGGUGUGACUUUUUUGACAGAGAUGCUUCAAAGAUUAUAUUCCUUGUGUUAGUGUCGUGAGGAUAAAGUUAAAUAAUGAGGUUUAGACAUGACUCUCUGCUUAAUAUAUUGAAAUUGUUGUGAUUUUUGGCAAAUUAGAAACUGAGCAAGUUUGUCAAUUAUAUAUAGCAUGGCAUUAUUGGGUUUGGGCUACUCUCUCUGACAGAUAUGGCCCAAUUUUCUGUCAUUUGUCAUGCACUUUCAGAAGACUUGGGAUGUAAGGGAGGGAGGUGUGAGUGUGAGUGUGACACCACAUAAAACGAGUCUUGAAAAUGAUCAUAUAUAAGUGACACUGAAAAAGCUUGGUCAUAUACUGCUUGGAUGUUUCAAGGAUUCUGCAACAACACUACUUAGUUAGAACUUAGAAGUGGUUGAAUUUCACGUCUUACGAUCUCAUAUAUAUAAAUUUUCUCAACCUUGUGUAUGGUUUUCUAAUCUUGGGAAUUUGGAUAAAUUAUUAUGUGGUCCAUGCAAAAUCAAAGGUGUUUGCAGUAAAGUAAAGAGAAUAGUGUGAUGCAUGGUUCACCUAAUUACAGAAAAUAUAUAUUUAAAGAAACCUUACUUACCUUAUUUAUUUCCCAGUUAAGUUAUAGUUCACCUAAAGUUUACCGUUUAGAAUUUGAGGACCGUAAAUCACAAACUUAUAUUUAUCUGAUUGUAGUUUGGUAUUUGAGUUGAGUAAUUAUUAAUUUCCAUAUUAAGGUUUUGGUGGGUAUGGAAAGCUACCCUAACCCUCUAGAUUAUGUGAUGAUGCAUACUUAUAAGUUAUAUUAGACAGGAAAAUACCAAUCGGUGACAUGUAUGUUUGUUUAUUCCUCAAGCAAACUAAAGACAAGAGAAGUGGGGAUGAUAUUAAUAAUGUAAGAUUUUGCAGUUUUCGUGCCUUCUAAGUUGAAGGAUGAAGUUUGAAGUUUGAAGUUUGAAGUUUGUCAACAACAGGUAUGGAUAUGGAUAUGGUUGUAACUUGUAAGCUUUCUGAUUUAAUUUGGGUUGUGAAGUCGUCCAAGCCAAAGGAAAAGAGUACCAUUUACAAAUAAAAAUAAGGUAUUUAUUUAGGUCAUCUGGCAAGAAAUGGGAACCUCCGCUCCACUUUUACUUGAGUUCGUUUCAAGUCACAUCCAAAUCAACUAACCAAAAUUUAAUAGCAAUUUGAGUUGGUGUCAAAUAAUUCGAGAAUUGGAAAGACAAGACCUUGCAGCUAUAAUAUUUAUUAAUUAAAUAGGUACCGCACCGUAUUGUCAUUCUUUUAAAGGGCCCUAUGAUCUAUCCAUCAUAUAUCAUAUUCAUUUUUGAGAUGUAAAUUGUGAAGCAACUAAUUUGGUAUGUUUGGAAACAUAACAUAAUGUCCACCCACGCAUGCUCCCACAUGACACCAAAUUAGUUUGUUUGUGGUGGUGGUGACCGAAGGAAAGCUUUUCUCACAUGGCUUCCCCACCUUCAUGAGAGAGAUUCAGAGAGAUCAGUAAAACCCCAGAAAAGGAAAUCAUAUUUCGUGGUCACAGUCAGGAACUUUAAGUAACAUGGUUGGUUUGUUGUAGAUCCUUGUUAGGCAACUGCUUAUUAUUUAAACCAAGUAUAACAUAGAGUCGUGGUUGUAGGCCUUUUCACAACGAGUGACGUUACAUGUACUACACUUACUGAAAGAUCGGAUCCUAAAAAAUAACUUAAUGAAAAAAGUUUUAAAUACAGCGAAACUAAACAAAAAAUGUAAUUUUAAACUAUCGUGUCGAACUGAGAACAGAAAAAGAAAAAGAAAAAGCUGCUGAAAAACAAUUUUAUGAUCACCAACUAAUUACAGAUCCCACCCAGGGAAAGUUGACAUGAAGAAUGUUUACAAAUCUUCAACAUUUUUCAAUUGAUUUUGCAACUUUUGCUCAGAGCCUUUUCUUCCCAGUCAAACCUUAGUCUUCAUGAAUUUAUUAUUUGGCACUGCCCUUGACUUGUUUGCACCAUACACCAUAGUCUUAUUUCAGAUUUUACAAGCAUGCCCAUCUCUGAGAGCUCUCCAUUCAAGAGCGGAUAUAUUCAUCAUAGGUGCUCAGUUGGAGCCUGGACAAGGGCUGAGGGUCAUAGCAGAUAGACAACCAUCACCGCAAAGUUCAUUAAUCAGAAUAAAAUAAUGAGUAUGAUUUGAAGGAAAACAUCAGCGAAAAGACAUUUCCAUUCCCAACAAAGCCAACGUCAUAUAGAUUUUUUCAGUUUCAGGGUGUGAUACGUCACCAGCAACAAACACAUGAAGUUCUUCUCCGAUUUGAACCCAACUGCAUCCCGGAAUCUUUCUCAAGCCCCUUUCUUUCAUUAACUGCCUCACCUUUGUUACCUCAUCCCAUCUUCCUGCAGCUGCAUAUGCAUUUGACAUUGCUAUAUAGUUACCAGAAUUGUCUGGCUGUAAUUUCAGUAAUUGAUUGGAUAAAUAUUCCUCUAGUUCUAUUUUAUUGUGUUCUCUACAAGCAGCAAGUAAUGAUCCCAACAUUUGUGCAUCAGGCUUGUAUGGCAUCGUGCCAACAAGCCUAAAAGCUUCAUCCAAAUUGCCACACCGAGAAAGAAGAUUAACCACACAGCCAUAAUGCUCUAUACUUGGAUUUAUAUUGUGAUUGGAUACCAUAUCAAAGAAAAGCUCCAAACCUUCAUUCACCAUCAUGGCAUGGCUGCACGCAUAUAAGGCAUUAGUAAAGGUUAUAUUAUCUGGUUUUACACCUUCUUCCUUUAAGCCUUGAUAUAGUGCAAGAGCUUCCACAGCUUGACCAUGUAACGCAUAACUGGAAAUCAUUGCAUUAUAGACAGGCAACUCCUUGUGUUCAAUCAUAUCGAACACCCUCUUUGCUUGAUCCAUAUUACCACAUUUAGCAUACAUAUCCACUAAAGAGGUUGCAAUUGGAAUUGAAGUGUAGAGGGAAUGCCUUAUCAAAUACCCAUGUAAGGCUCUUCCAUUCUGCAACGAUGCCAUAUUUAUGCAAGCCAAUAGUACACCAAUAAUGCUCACAACAUUGGGUUUAAUUCCAGCUUCCUGCAUCUGCUGGAAUGUCAGAAUCGCUUCGUAGCCAAAACCACUCUUAGCCAAACCAGAGAUCAGUGUAGUCCAAGUGACCAGGUUAGGCUGGACUCCAAGGGACUGCAUCUGCCAAAACAUAUCUUUAGCCUCGUUGACUUGGCCAUUUUUCAGAAAACCUAAAAUCAGAGAGUUCCAUGAUAUCACAUUUGGUGGCACACUUUCUAGCUGCAUUUGAUAGAACAUUUUCAAGGCCUCACCACUAUGACCCAAUUCUGCAAAAGCAGCCAGCAUUGUGUUCCACAGCACAAGAUCUCUUAUAAAUGAAGAGUUGAAAACUUGUUUUGCACAAUCGAUUUUCUCACAUUUGGCAUACAUGUCUACAAUGCUACUCACAACAACCACGUCGGAUUCAAGGUUGUUCCUUAUAGAAUAGCAAUGUCCCACCUUACCAAAUUUCAAACUUCGUGUAUCUGCAAAAGCAGACAUUAAGGUUGCAAGAGUCACAGAGUCAAAACUCAAGUUUUCAAGUCUCAUUAGGCGGCAAACAUUGAGUGCUUUGUCAACCUCCCCCACUUGCACAUACCCAGAUAUGAGCAAAUUCCAUGUGACCACAUCUUUCUCAGGCAUCUUGCUAAAAACCAUUUCAGCAUCCUCAAUCAAACCAACCUUGGAAUAAAAGUUAAUAAGAGAACUGCCCAAAUUGGUAUUUAGUUCUAAUCCACAAACAACUGCUAGUGCAUGUCCAUGUUUACCCUCUUGUAAUGCACCUAAAUUAGCUGAAGCAGAAAGUAAGCUCGAUACCGUAACGUGAGUGGGUUCAACACCUGCCUCCCUCAUCUCAUAAAACACCUUAAUAGCUUCCUCAUUCAAACCAUUUUGUACAUAACCCACAAUCACCGAAUUCCAAGUGACUACAUUUCUUUCAGGCAUACCAUCAAAAACCUUCCUUGCAUCUUCUACAACCCCACAUUUUCCAUACAUAUCCACAAGACUAGUAGCAACAAAGACACACCCACUACAACCCAACUUCACCACAUACCCAUGAACCCCUUUCCCAAUCCCAAUCCACUCUAAAGCACCACAAGCCUUCAAUACAUUUGGAAGAACAAAAUUAUCAGGCAACAAUCCAUUUUCUUGCAUUUCCCUAAAACCUAGCAAAGCCUCUUGAUAGAAACCCAUCCUACAAUUCAAUCCAAUAACCGCAGCCCACGAAAAAACGUUUUUUAAUCUUACCAUUCGGAACAAACGAUUUGAAGCCUCCGGAACAUCGCAUUUUGCAUAGAAAAUCACCAACUUGGUUUCAAUGUACUCAUUUAUUGCAAAGAUGCCACCUUUCUUUAUAAUCCGAGCGUGAAUUUGCUUACCCGUAUGAAGAGCUCGCUCGUAGACACACCCCUGAAGGAGCUCGCCGUAAAUUUCAGGGCCAACUUGGAGGUUUUUGAGUUCCAUCUCAACGAACAAGUCCACAGCCUGUUGAAUUUGGCCUUGUUUGCACAGAGAGGACAUGUGGCUAAAGUAAGACUGGUACAAGAUUUGAUGGGUUUUUGCAUUUUCUUGAAGUUUUGUAAAAUGGGCUUGUGACUGUUUGUGGAAUUCAAUCGGAAUAGACUGUUUGGAAAGUGAGAGUUGUGGGUUUGGAAUUGUGGUGUACGGUAGAGAAGCCAUGGCCAGGCAUGAAGCAGAGGAAACAAGAGGAGGAUAUGGUUGGUCGUUGCAACACGAAGCGGGAAAGGGCAUUAUCGUCAAUACGGACAUUAUUAACUUGGGCCUUAGAUGAACCUGGGCUUCAAUCAUGAUGGUCUCUUGGCCCAUAAUCUCGACAUAGGCUUCUCUUUUUUCACUUUAUUUUUUAUUUAUGAGAAAAUUUGUUGGGAAUGAAGAAGCUAUAUUUUGUGAAUUUUUAGGGCAAUUUUAAAUGAAUUGAUUUUUUUAACCCAGAUUUUGAUUUAUAUAUAUAUAUAUAUGUAGAUUAUGAAGAACAAUAGAUAUUUUACAACUUGUGGUGAUGCAUAUACCUCUACGUGCACAUUUUCUUUUACCAAAGGAAAGAAAUUGAUAGAAUGCUUUGUGAUGAAUCUUAAGACAACAAUAGGUCAACAGCAUAUAUAAUAUAUAUUUAAGAUAUAUGUUCCAAAUUCGUGUCUUCAUAGACACUCUAAGUGUGCCUUUUUUUUGUAUUUAUUAUUAUUAUUAAGUAGUUCAUGUCUUUUGCUAAGAGGCCGACCAAAGGGAUUCUAAUUCCAUACUCCACUCUCUCAUGCUUAUUCAGAUGCCUUAUGCACUCACUCCAUAAUAUUUUUGGUCAAGACUCCUACUUCUUUAGAAGGGCAGAGGUGGUUUGGAGCAAUUGCUUUCAUAUGAGGAAAGGUUAUGCGUUCGAGUUAUAGCAUCCGAAUAGUGUGUGUGUGAGUUUGGUAUAUUAUCGACCCUCUCAAUAAGGAAGGUUCUCUUAAUUUAUAUUCAGUUUUUUUAAAGGAAAAGAAUUUUCCUUCUUAGAGUAAGAGUAGUACUUUGUGAUUGACACUGAGAAAUUAGCAGAGAAUUUAGUAUAUAUAUAUAUAUAUAUAUAUAUAUAUAUAUCCACCAGCUAGCUCGCAAUAAUGAAUAAAUUAUGAAAUUCUGAUGCCAAAAAGAAGUGGAAUUAUUAGAGAAUUUAGUAGAACAAUCCAUUUAUCAUCAGAAAUAUUUAGUUCGUGAUUCUCAUUGACAAACCUUACAGCCCGUAAAUGUACCUUUCAUUGCCUUUCCGCAAAGUUAAUUAUACAAUUAAGAAUAUUUCAUAUAAAGCUCAUUCGUUUCUUUUUAUUUUUAUAAAUAUUAUUUUCGGCCUCCAAUUUGAAACAAGUUGAAGAAGCAACUUUGAAUUUAUAUAUAUAUAUAUAUAUAUAUAUAUACAGAGAGCUUCCAUUGAGUGAUCCCUUAAAUAAGCUUAUUUGAGGGACACCCCUUGUAGGCCCCACUCCGGAUUGUAUUUCACUAAUCCAAACCGUCUAUUUUGUAGAUACUCAUUCAAAGAUUAUCCCUACAAAAAAUCACUUGAAUCCGAUAUCAUUUGACCACUCAAUUAAGUUAUUGAAAUUUUAGCAUUUUCUUGAAGUACCGUGUUCAUUGAUUUUGUAAGACACAAUUGGAUGUCGAAACUGUUUCCGAUUUGUCUAAUUUUUUGUAAGGAUGAUCUAUGAAUGAAGACCUAAAAAAUAGAUGGUUUGGAUCAUUGGGAAAAAAAUUGUAGGAUACCCUAAAGGGCGUCCCUCAAUAGAAGGGGACUGUAUAUAUAUAUAUAUAUAUCUCUUAUAUGCCAUAUAUAAUUAGUUAGUUCCUGAAAAAUAAAGUAGAUUUAGAUGAAUUAGUGGAUAGAUAUAGAAUGGAAUAGAAUCUGACAUUUUCGUAAUAUUCCUGUUUCAAACUAGACUUUUGGUCAUGCUGAGGAGAAAGACUAAUUAGGACUCCAUCCUUGUCGUAUUUUAAAGCAUAUACUAAAUCAGUAGGAUUUUAUUUAAAAUGUACUUAAUAUAUUAAUUUGUUACAUGAUAUAGUACACAUGGCACCUUUCAGUUGGUAGUGAGAUGAAUUUUCUUAUAUCGUUUAGGUUGGAGCUAGCGUUCCCAUAGUUUGAAAAUGUUAAAAUUAGUAUAUAGGUAUUCUCUCAUCCGCAUGUUCGCAUGUUAUUAUCGUGUAGAUGUUAUUGUAAAGAGGAAUAAAGCAAAAAUUAGUAGUAGAAAAUACAUGACGUCCGCACGAUAAUAAUAUCCGGAUGUCUACAUAAGAUAAUUUCUGUAUAUAUAUAUAUAUAUAUGUUCUUCAAAAAAUACAUUUAAUUCUUUUCAAAAAAACAAAAAAAGGAACAUUUGGAUUCUUGACAUUAUGAUCAUAUACAGCAGCAUCUGAGGCCUUUUAAUUAUCAAUGAACAUACCAUGGGAAAAGUUGAGCCUUGGACUAGUGGAGAGGGAAUUUCUGUGACAAAAUAGUGGUCCUAACCUAAUAACUGGGCUUUUCCCAGUAAAGUUGAUGUCCGAACGCUUGUGAUAAAUAUAAGAUAGGCUAUUCGGGGGAUCUCACUUUUGGCCCAUGUGAAACCCAUUGUAAUUUCUAAGCAUCAAAAGCUCAAAAACAACAAGGAAUUAGAAGACCGAUGCAUUAUAUGCCAACACAACAACGACUAAGGUUCCAUUCUGUUUUAGACCAGGGCCAUGCAUGCGCAUGCAUAAAUAAAUAAUCAUGUAUUUUAUGUUUUUUAUCUCUCUUCUCACGUGACAUAACAUAACACGACUAAAGGAAAAUGGAUGCAUGAAGUUGGGAUAAAGAGAUAUCUCUCUGCAAUUACGUUGUGUCAUUUGGUUAGAUAGAAACAAAGUGGAGUAGAGCCUAGUAGGACUAGGGUGUAGGCAUUACAUGGAUUUCAGCAAAAAUGAGGGGCCAAUUGCAAUUGGGGCAGGCAGAGCUUUCUUUAGCACCUCGGUUUCUGUUUUGAACACAAAUUUUAAUGUUGGGUGUAGCCUGUAAAAUUGUCAUGCAAUUCAUAAUUGGAAAACGGGAAAGGAAAAGGAAAAGGGAAUAUUCCUUUAUUUUUGCGCCAGACAAAAGGGAUAUUCAGAAGGACGAUAUGGUGGAAUAUCACGACACGUGUCACGAGGAGAAUCUCUUUCCUUUGAUUUCUUUUCCUUUACUUCCCAUUGGAAAAGAACAACAAAAACAAAAAAGAAAGAAAGAAAUGAAGAAUGAGAGGGAGAUAGAGAGAAUCUGCAGAAAAGGUUUGGGUUGGAGUAUUGUACGAGAAGACUGAUUUUAGAAAGCGACCAACCAUCAUUAUUAUUGGACAUCUCUAUCUCUCUCCCUUUGUCUUUGUCUUUGUAACAGAUAAAAGAGAAUUCGAUGCAAAUGCAAUUUCAUAAAGGCCUCUCUCUCUCUCUCUCUCUCUCUCUCUCUCUCUCUCUCUGCGACUUUGUUCAUUCAGUAGAAAAGGUCUGCAUUGCAUAUAUCUGGUUUUGCCUGAAAAUGGUGCUGGGAUCGAUAUUGGACUGAACAAUUUUUCAUUGUUUAGUUGCAUGCAUGUCAUGCCAUCAACCUAGGUCAUGCGAUCCUAAUGUUUUGGAGGCCCUAGAUAGAUGAAUCACAAAAAUGUGACAUUCGACCUUCUAUGUACAUUCAUUCGUGCUAUUUAUUGUUACCACAAGAAUUUUGAGAAAAAUAUUAUAUAAAUUCAAAAUUAAGAUUGUAAGUUUUUUUAUAAAAAAAACAACAAACAUCAUAUGUAUUCAUAUUGUACACAACAAGAAAGGGAUAAAACAAACUUUUUACUCAAAUUCUAGUAUAAUAAUACAUAUUUACUUACACACAUGCACCAAAAAAGUCUUCGGAAUUGUGAAUCUUGACUGAAAAUGAAAAUUCAAGACUAAUUUCCCCAAAAAAUAAUGCUUGAAAUUCAAAACUAAAAGAAAUCAUCAAUCAUCAUACUUGGAAUUCUUUUUCAGAUUUCAAACAUAUGAAAUUGAGCUCAAUGCAUUUUAUUUCUUAAUUUUAUUCAAAUAUGUUAAUUAGCUUAGACUAUGAAUUUAUUGAAUAAGUGGGUUUUUUUUCUUCGAGCUGAGCUCUUCUUAAAUUUGGAUUGAAUUAUUGGGCAUAACAUAAUUUUUAUAUCUAGAGUUGGGGUAUUAUAUAUAGUGACAUACUAGUUAUAUGUAGGGAUUUAUAUAAAUUGGAGGCCUUAGACGAUCGCUUUGCUAGUACUCAAGAAAUUAUGACAUAAUAUAUUAAAAAAUCGUGGUUACGUUACUCUUAUGAAAUAUUUAUUUCAAGUUUUAAUAGUUUACUAUACACUAUUGGUAUGCAUCUUUAUCAUUUUUUUUUACAAUGCAUUAGUCUUGAGGGUGAAGUCUUAUCUCUCCCUUUUUCAUUAGUACUUGAAAAGUUUAAGUUCUCUUUUCACGAGUUGUAAUCCAUUAUUAGCAGUUGAAUAAUCAGAAAAAUCCUUAUAGAUACUUUUUUUUUCUUCUUCCUAAUAAAAAGGACAUAGUCUAAUUAAGAGCUAUAAAUCGAAGUGGGUAUUUCUUAUCCAGAACCUAUUUGAUUUUUGAGCUAAAGCUCUCAAAAUAAUAUAUAUUUAUAUUCAUUCAAAGGCGAAUCGGGAUUAAUUGUUAUGGAGGUUCAGAACCCUAGGAAAAUUCCCCUAAAUUUUUUUUUUUUUAAAAAAAAGAAUCUUCUUACCUUCCAACCCACUUCAUUAAAGCGAGUAGCAGAAGAAGAUUCCCUUCUCUUAGGCUCCUUUAUUAUUCUUUUUUGGGGUGGUAAUGGUUUUUCAAUUUCCCUUUAAGCUUUGUGGGUUUUGUUCCCUUAAUUUAGAGUCGUAGAAUUGGAACGAAGAUAUUCCUUUCCUUGGAGGCAAAUAUUAUAUUCUUUAACAUGAAUGUUUCAUCUUUUUAUAUUAGAUAUUCCCUCUCUCUCUCUCUCUCUCUCUCUCUGAAUGCACUCAAUUUCACUGCAAUUAUGCAACUUUUGAAACCAAAAAGAAAGUUGCAUGCAGCAUGGUGCAUGGAAUAAUGAUACUAAUCCCAUUUGAAGAUGUCCUCCUUUUCCUCUCUUUCGAUUUUUUUCUCCAAUUCCAAUUCCAAUUCCAAUUCGGUGGUAAUGGGGUAAUGGCUAAUGGUAAAGAAAGAAAAUUAAUAUAUGGAUCAUGGAUCAUGGAGGAUGGAGGAUGGAUGAUAGUAUAUGCUCCUCCCAAGGCUUUUUCAUUCAUAAUAAAUAUUUAAUCAUCCUAGAAUCAUGAAUACAUAAUAUUAUUAGUUAAUUAUUAUAUGAAUGGGUAUAUAUUUGGUAAGGGUACCCUCAAGUACUACUUGGCCGUACACGUGUCCGAUAUCUGCAAUCUGGCUACUGCUUUGGACUACAGCUUUCUUGUGGUUAGACUUUCGAUGUGAUAUACGUACAUCACAAGUCACAACCAACCAUGGAAUUCCCACCAUUCUUUUUGACCCUUUAUAUUUUGUGGACUGCUAAUAUUUUUCACUGUUCAAUAUAAACAUAUAUAUAUAUAUUAUCACAUUUCUUACAUAUUUUGGGUCACCAAUAUCUAAUCUGUUAAACAAAUUUGCUCAAAAUUAAUAUAGCUCUAUUAAUAAUUAGUAACUGAUGUGGAUGAUGAUGUUGUAGCUGGCUAAGAGGUUUUCAUCUGAACCAUCCCAGUUACAUGUCAAAAGCCAUGCAUGUGUAUCUCAUACUAAAUCAAAUGCAACAUAUAUAUAUAUAUAUAUAUAGUAAUGAAAAUUUUGUAGGAUAAGCUUAAAAUUCAAUACAUAAGAACAUAUGAAUAUAUAGGUUUAAUUUUGGCUUGACAGAAUAAUAAGUUCAUAGCUGAGUACGAUUCGAAGGACCAAAGAAAAGUAAGGAAAUAAUUAUUAAAAAGAGAAAGGGGAAAAAAAGGCACAGCAGUAAGAAGAAGAAUCAUCUUUUAUUUUGGUGAAUUUGAAUUCGUACAGACUAGAGAGAGAGAGAGAGAGAAUUAAGUUGAAACAAAGGCUCUAAGCACAUGACCCCUCUUGUGUCAGACACCUUGAUUCCUUCUCCCACAGCCACAACCACAGCCAGAGAUAUCAGCGCAGAGAGAGAGAGAGAGAACCUCUCUCUCAUUUUUAGCUUUUCUUUGCCUUUGUUCUUUGCAAGAAGUUACCAUCCUUCUUUAUCCCCCUCCCCUCUUGCUUUAUUUUUCUUUUCUUCUCUCUCUCUCUCUCUCAAAUCCCCCCAGCUAGAGCUAGCAAGCCACUUUAUUCCCUUGAACUCACCCUAAAAAGAAGACGAUCAUACCUCGAUCCUCCUUGUGUUCACAAACCAACAUCCCUUCCCUUUCUCUCUCCCUCUCUUUCUCUCUCUAAGUUGAACCACCAUCCUAUCUAGAAAUUAGAAAGAGCCAAAGACCCUCUUUUGCUCUUGUUUGUUCCUACAUACCCUGUUGCUGUUGUUGUUGCUUGGGCGUCAACAUUUUCUAAUAAAAACAGUAGCUAGUUUUAUGAGCAGUUAGCAACCAAAGUUAGAUAUCCAAUAUCUCUUGUUUGCUUCUUGUUAUAUCCAUUUCUGAAUUUAUAAGCAAAUUAAUUGGUUAAUCAGUAAAUGGCAUCAUCGCCUUCGGAACUAAGCCUGGACUGCAAGCCCCACAGCUACUCCAUGCUCCUCAAAUCCUUUGGAGACCUGCAGGCUUCUCAUCACCAUGACCAGUCUCAGACUCAGAAGCUUGAAGAGUUCCUCUCCCGCCUUGAAGAAGAACGUCUCAAGAUUGAUGCUUUCAAGCGCGAGCUCCCUCUUUCCAUGCAACUCCUCACCACUGGUACAUACAUCAUCAUCAUCUAGCAUGCAGCCUCAAUUUGGAUAUUCAUGUUACUUAAUUUCCUCCAAGUUUUAAUUAAUUAGCACUACCUCCCAACCCUUUACUUCUUUAUCCCUUUUUCAUUUAUAGAAGGGAGAGAUUGUAGCUUUCUGUUUCUCUAUGGGUCCAAAGUAGCUACUUAUUCAUAUCCAACAUAUUUUCUAAAGAAACUAAAGCCACCAUAUAUGGCAAAAAGAAUUAGGAUAUAUGAAUAUAAAGAUCAUAAAGACAACAUAUAAGAUAUUAAAAUAUAUUUACAUAUAGCAGAAAUCUAUACAGAAACUCAGGGUGAUUUGCUUAAUUUAUUUUGGGUACCAGAAUAUCUUGUUUUUCUCCAUUAUGUACUAAUCAUCAAGAUUGCAAUUCCAGCGGUGGAGGCUUCAAGGCAGCAGCUUCAAGCUUACAGAGCAAAUAUUCAAGGGCCAAAUAGGCCAGUGCUUGAAGAAUUCAUACCCCUUAAACAUUCACCCACUGAAGGCUCAGAAAAAACUACAAACACCACUUCUGAUAAGGCAAAUUGGAUGACCUCUGCCCAACUGUGGAGCCAAGCAAGUGAUCAUAUCAAUGCAACCAAACCCCAGUCCAUAACAUCCCCAAAAGAAACCGAUAUCGGCUUUAGUGUCAGCCCCAAGCUCGGCUUAGACGCCAAGCAGCACAGAUCCUAUGGAGGAGGAGCUUUCCAUCCAUUUUCCAAAGACCGCAACUCUUGCCCAAGCCCAACUUUGCGGCCUCUCCCAGAGCUGGCUCUUGCCUCCCCAGAGAACAACAAGGCAGCAGAGAUGUUAAUGGAGGACAAGAUCAUCAAGUCAUGUAAUAAUUCCGAGACCACCCAUGAGAAUGGAAUGAUUAAUUCAUCAGCUAAUAAUGGCAAUUGUAGUGAACAAGCUAAAUUAUUAGCAACCGGUGGAAUUAAUAAUUCAAAUAUAUCAGAGGGGCAAACACAGACAACAACAACCACAACCACCAACAAUCAAUCUCAAUCUCAAACUCAUAGGAAGGCAAGGAGGUGUUGGUCUCCUGACUUGCACCGGCGGUUCGUUAAUGCCCUUCAAAUGCUUGGUGGUUCUCAAGGUAUUAAUUAUUAAUUUGCUAUUUAUUUAUUUUUAUAUGUAAUAUAAUCAUAUGGAUUUGAUGUUUACGUACGUACGUUUUUGUUUUGGUCAAUUUGACAGUGGCGACCCCGAAACAGAUCAGAGAGCUGAUGAAGGUUGACGGUUUGACCAACGAUGAAGUUAAAAGCCAUCUGCAGGUACCUUAUCCUACUGCACCUACAAAUGAUAUUAUGUCUCUCUCUUUUUCUGAUACAUGCAGCCUUUGCAGCCAGGCACUGGCAGGCAUGAAACGUUUGAUAUGCAUACAUAUCCUCUUUGCUUUGCUUCCCUUUGUCUUGUCCUUAUUAUAUAUAAUAUAAAUAACAUUUCCUUGUUCCUUUUCUUUUUGUUUCAAAUUCUUAUCACAGAAGUACAGGCUCCACACAAGACGACCAAGCCCUAGCCCACAAGCAGCCGGAGGCCCAACGCCACAACUGGUAGUCCUAGGUGGCAUCUGGGUCCCGCCAGAGUAUGCCAACGCGGCACACAAUGGCCCCACAGCCCUUUACAGCCCACACCCUGGCUCCCAUGCACCAACCCACUACUGUGCAACCCCAAUGCCCCAAGACUUCUACACCACGCAGCCACCGCAGCAAUUGCACCACCACACCCUCCACCACCAGCUCCACGUGUACAGGGCUUCCACUACCUCCAACACUCACAGCUCCCCCGAGUCCGAUGGCCACGGUGCCUGCGGACGGUCGGAGAGCAUCGAAGAUGGCAAGUCCGACAGCAGCAGCUGGAAGGGUGCAGAGAGCGGUGGUGAUCAGAUGAACGGAGGAGAUCAUAGAAAAGGAGGGGUGGCUUCGAGGAGAUCAGAAGACGCUGAGGACAGUAAUGGCAGUCAGAUCACGCUCAAGUUCUGACCUUGUGGUGGUCAGGGCAUGAGGGUUUCUUAGUUAUCAAAGGUUUUGGGUUAGGGUUAGGGUUAGGACUAAUUAAAAAUUAGGGCUACCAUUUGUAUGUUUGCAUGCGCUAAUCCUGUGUAAUUCUCAAUUUAUCAUUAUUCAUGUGAUAUGAUAUAUUAUUAUAUCGACCGUGUGAGUUUUAGUUUUAGGGUCUUUAGAGAGGGUAAAAACGUCAUAACGGGAAAAGUGAGUGUUUGUUUUAUUUUCCUUUUCUUUUUCCUUUAGAUUGAUUCUAUUUGAAGGAAUAAUUCACAUCUAUAAAAAUGUGCUUUCCACCGUGAAUUACUGACUACUGUACAACAUGAAGGUCCUUCGAUCCUAUUUCUUUUUUCACCCAAAAUUAAGAAGGAGAAGGGAUUUUCUCACACAUUGUCCAGUUUAUGUUCUCUACCUUUUUGUCAAAAUUAGGAAAGAGAACGAAGUUUUCUCACACGCAUUACCAGAGUGCCAUGGAAUUCGAAUCCUAAUUCAAAAUGUAAAACCAUGUGCUACUCGAGCUUUUUAUGGGGCUUUGGCCGUCCUUGGUACCAAAGAAAAAAACGAAUUUUUGAGCUUAUUGCUUCAAAUAAGUCUAAUAAGAGAAGGAAACUUGUCGGAUUAACUAAGAAGCAUGUGUUGUGCUACUUUAAAAACUUAGGUCGCGAAAGAAGAGGUACCGAAAGUGUGUGCCUGACUCAGAUUUCUUUCCACCCUAAUCUCUCGUCAGAGGCUUUUUUCACAAAAACACAUAACGGGCACUUUAUUAAUGGCCUUUUUCUUUCUGUUGCUUUGCUUUAAGCAAUUCAGAGGAAGAGGAAGAGGGUUACAUGUUAGCAUUGCCAUCACCGUCUUCUCAUCGUCGGCGCUAAAGUGCACACCAGAAAACAUGAUGUAGAAUAUAAUACAUCUCAGAUAAAAUAAGCUGUUUCUCAGCUGACUUUGGAGUAAAUAUCUACAAAAGCUUCAAAUCCCCCACCUCAAAACAAUAUACAGUAUACGUUAAGUUCUAUUACAGAUCACUCCUUCUUUCGAGGUUCAACAUGACAUCAUGUAUUGCCAAUUGUCAAGAUUCCGUCCCUUAAGUCAACCUCAUCUUCCAACAUUUCUGUAUCAACGAGCGACUGCAAGCAAAAUGGUUUAUACAUUACGUUCUGUCACUAAAUCACCCUCCCAUCGCAAUCUAAUGAUCCAAAUAUAGAUAUGGAAGUUUUGCAUUAGAUACAUAACAUCAAAAGAGGGUUUGAGAUCUUAGAGGACCAAACUUUGGGCUUCCCAUUUGACAACAGCAUAAAUUGGCCCAACUCCAGUCAAAAGAGAUCCAGACGAAAGAAAGCAAACAGCCAGGUUAUUCGACUUCAAUUCACAGAUAUUAAUAAAGGAAAAUGUUCUUUCCCAUUUGCAAUUUUCUUUAAAUGGCUCAUUUCUUUACUCAUUUGUAACCAUCAAUAACAAGGUAAUGUAUCAGCAUUGUUUUUCUGUACAAGCUUAAGAGGAGAGAAGACACCAACCUGAAGUUCGUGUUCACAGCUUUUAAGUUUUUCAGUGUAAUCUUUUACUUGCAUAAAGGAUUUAUGUAGCUGCAUAUAAAAACAUUAACUCCAAUCAGUGUCCAGUACAGUUUAUUCGCAACCAGCCUUAGCAAUUGAAAAUACCUUGGUUAAUUUCAUCUUAUUGUGUGAAGAGUUCUUCUUUGCAUUUAUCAAUGCAUCCUCCAAUUUCUGCAUAAACAAAUUCUCAGCAGGACAUGAACCAAGUUUAGCAUGUGAAAUCAGAAGACUUGGAAUAAAGACAUGCAUGCAGAUCAAAGUACAAUCAGGGGUACCUUAGAUUUCUUCUGCAAAUCCAAAACUAGUUUUCCUUUCUCUUUCAAACUCUCCUCCAUCUGAAUAGUCUGACAACAUAUAAUGAAAAUUAGUGUCCCCUAAAAAUUUCAUUAUGACUUUCAUGCAGGUCAAAUGCAAGAAAUAAUGUUGAACUACCAGAAAACGUGCCUCUUGCUUAUUGGUAUCAGAAAAUCUAUACGAUGCCAACAUAGGUCUUUAUGAAUAAUUUCAGUCAGACAAAUAAAGGUAUAGGCAUUGCUUUAUUUACUCAAAUUCUUUAAGGGAAGACAGACCUCCUUUUUUAUUUCUUCAAGCCUUCGCAUGGAUCUCUCGAGCUGUUCUUUUACCUAAUAUUUUUAACAGAAGAAAAUGCAAGCAAAAAAGUAUUUUAAUUAAGAUGACACAAACUUAUAUAUGUAUGGCACUAUCUUAGCAAGAAAAGCUAAAAAUGCCGAACUUGCCUGAUCAUCGUAAUCAUCACUGGGAUGGGAUAACAGGUCCCUACUUUGUCGGUCAACAGAAUUUGAACUGCAGGAAAAAAAAAACAGAACAUCAUGAAAAACGACAGAAUCUAAACUGCAGAAAAGAAACCAGAACAUAAGAGGACCCUUAUGUGAUUCAUCAUAUCUUUCUUUCUCUUGAUCAUCUCCCAAGAAACACAAUUGAUACUGAAAUACAAAAAGAUCAACGUGGCCACAACGUUUAUGCAGAUGUCAUAUUCAACUCCUAAAAGCAUUUGGGACUCUGUCAUCUAGUAAUCGAGAUAGGAUAUGUAUUUUCUAGAAGUCAACGUGCAACUACAUACAAGUAUCAAUUAUUCCGCAUGUUGUUAAAUGAAAGGCUAACCAGCAUACUCACGAUCAAGUUAAAAGGAUGCAACAAUUAAAACUUUGACUUAUAAAAUACAAAAGAACGUAAUCUAUGUAUGCAAAAUGUUAACAACUGUGCAAUUUAAAUAUGAAGUCCAGUUCCACCCUUAUCCUCUGACAGGUGAUUAAUGCCAAACAACAAUUAGAAACAAGAAGGGCAUCUUACCUGUUCCUUCUCCUUGAAUGUUGAUCUCUAUCCUUGGCAGCUAUAGUAGUAUGAUUUUUGUUUUUUUCCAUCUCCCUAUCUCUGUCAGAGUCCAAUGCUCGAUCUCUUUCCCAACCCUGAUCAUGGUUCCUGCUCUGUCCUUGCUCGGCAUCUUCCAAAUCUCUGUCUUGAUGACGGUCUCUAUCCAAGAAAUCAUAAUCACGUUCACGGUCAUACCCUCUAUCCCUUUCUUGAUCAACCCCAAGGGACCGGCCACGGUCACGUUCUCUUGAUCGAUCACUGUGCUCUCUCGACCGAUCACUGUAUCGAUCCUUAUACCGGUCUCUAUCAUGAUCAUACUCCCUCUCAUGAUCUCUAUCUCUAUCCCAGUUCCUGCCCCUCUCAACAUUCCGUCCAAAACCUUCUCUGUCUCUACCAAAACCCAAUCUUCCACCUCUAGUCCUCACUUCAUUUACUCUGAUAACUCUUCCAUCAACAGUCUAAUUCAAAGCUCAACAAUGUCACUCAAGAUUUUAAGAAAACAAACCGAUCACAGACACCAUAAAUGUUCAAGUAUAAACUUAAAUGAAUAAAACAUACCCUGCCAUCCAUCUCAUUGAUGGCAUGAAUUGCAGACCGAGGGUUCCUGAAAGUAACAAAGCCAUAGCAUUUUCCUCUGGUCGAAGCAUCAUUGAUAAUCUGUAAAUUGAAGAAUUGAAGAAGCAGCAGAUGAGGGAAAGAAAACCUAAAUGCUUAAAACCCUACAAAGUAAAAUGGACCAAAAAAAAGAAGAAGGAAAAGUAGCGGGAGUGACCUUAACGGCAAUGACGGAACCGUACAACUCAAAAACUCUGCGAACUCUAUCCUCGGUGGCGUCGUACGGAAGGCCUCCAACGUAGACGGAGCUCUCGUCGUCUAUCGUCAUCUCCCUCACUCGCCUCUCUCCCAGUUCUUCUCAAUAGUUUUCCUAUUAUUUUGUUUUCUUUACCAAAUAACAAACGACAUGUAGUGCACUGUGCAGUUCCCAGAAAAGAAUGUGUCGUUUGAACUUUGGACCCAAUGGCCACCCCCCACUGGGCCUUGCCCAAUAAAAAAAAAAGACACCCUCAAUGUGGACUUUCAAAACAAGAUGGAUUUGACAUCGGCCUGCCCAAUCAGAUUAAACGACACCCUCAAUGUUCAAUUUUCAAAAUAAGAUGGAUUUCUAUUGAGAUUUGCAUGGGGAAUUGUUAAAAAUUAACAUUAUUGUUGGAAUGAUAAUGACUAUUUGGUUUGGAAUUGUGGAAAUGAUUCAUUUAAAUGUAAGUUAGGUUAGUUAGUUGUGACGGUGUACAUAUCUCAUUGCACUCAAAUUUGAGUCCGUGCUCAUAUAAACUAGACUACUUUAAGAAAGUUUAGAGAAAAAAAAGUACUGUCUAUCAUAAAUCAGGCGGUCCACAUCAAGGACAAUUCGUUGAUGGGCCCACACGUUGAUGACUGAUAAUCUAUCAUGUGGCUGUUUAAAUUCAAGAGUUGUCCUCCUCCUUGCUUACCCAAAAAAUUGACCUAAGAAAGAAAGAAAGAAAUAUUGAUUUACAGAAAGGGAGGUUAUAUCGUUGUCAACACGUGGGAGGUAACUGACACGUGAAUAUGCUACCUCUCCCUCUCCCUCUCCCUCUCCCUCUCCCUCUCCCUCUCAGAUCAGUCAGCCCCCUGGCUUUUUGGGUUGCGUCGUGGUGAUGGUGGUCCUUUUUCAAAAGAAAUUCAAUGUGGGCCACUUGGGGCCACUUCCUCCAACUUGCUCUGCCCCUGCCUCUUCCGUAACGGGAUCACGUGAAAACCUUAAAAACAGGCCAAAGUGGUGGGCCUCUAAGGUUCCGGCCGACCCGCCCACCCGCUCCACCAACGCAACUUCUUCUUUAUAAUAAUAUUUCAUUUAUUUUUUCAAAUUCCACCCAAAUUAUAAAAUAUGUAGUAGCUCUAAUAAUAUUUAUAAAAGAUGGAAAAUUAGUUAACGCGGAUAUAGUCUAGUGAAAAAGAAUUUUGAUUUGCUGAUGAAUAGCUCAGAAUAUCAUUUGUAUUAUUUAUUUUUUUAUAAAAAAAGAAAAAGAAAUAAUAAUUCAGGUGUUGUAGAUGAGAGUUUACGCAGGAGAGGUGGCAAAAGGCAGAGGACAGUGGUGUCAUGUGGGAGGCAAUGUUGAGUCCCUCUUGAGUCAUUAUUACGUUAUUGGGUCGGGGUUCUGGGCCCCGUUAUGGUUUAGUGGGUUUUCCUUUUUCCAUACUUAGCAAAGCCACAUGCUCCCAUACGACAUAUGUACAUGAUUAAUUAAAAGUCACAAACUGUUGUUGUGCAGAAAUUGAAGAGUGAGUGAAUGCCAAGUUGCCAAUGGGGUCUCUCGAUCCCUGUCCUGUUGGUUUUGUUCAUGUACAUGCAUGAUGUAGCCGUAACCCAUCUCGAUCUCUCUUUUGAAAAUCACAAUCAAUGGCGAAGGUAAACAUGGUGUCUGCAUUUUUCUUGCUUUUUUACUUAAAAAGCUUUAUCACUGAUCUUCUUGCAAGCACGAUUCAAUAAUGGUUGCAUUGUUCAUGGGCCCAUCGUCCUACGUUUAUGUUUAGCGGUUCUCGGUCGGUUCUUUUGUUAAAAUGAAUGAACAUUUGAUCGAGUGACGCUUAAUCUUUGCUUCGUUAGAGGACCACUCACGUGGAGAGAUGAGCAUAACCCUUUUCCACAGGGUAGGUAAGGAGUUAAAUCCUGUAAUUAUGUACUGGUUGAAAGUGACUUUUUCUUUGAUGUUAGCGUCCGUUUGGUUUGAAAAAAAAAACCGAAUAAUUGAUUAUCAUUUCCCUUUUCUUUUUUUUUUAAUGGUUUUUUGAACUCGAAUCGGCACUUCAAAAACGAAAAUGGCCAGCCAGCCAGAGCCAGCCAGAGCCAGCCAUCAUCAUCAUCAUGAUUCAUGAUUAUCAAACAUAAUUAAAAUGCUCAAUCCAUUUAAUUAAUAUUUCCAUACUAGUUGGACGUCAACUUUCAAUCAUUAAAUUAAGAAAAUAAAAACUGGUUUAUAGAAAAUAAACUCGAGAGAUAAUAAUGCAGACGUUUACCAAACGCGUAGGAAGAAUUAUUAUCAGUGUUUGGUCGCAGGUAGCAGUCGAUGAUAUAUAGGGCUAGGCUAAGCUAGGCACAAAAUAGGCUGAGGGUAUCGUACUAUCGUGUAGAUUGGACCCUUUUAAACGGUUCCUAUUCCAUUAUGGUAAACGUCAGCUACCAGUGUGCUUUCCCUUUUCAAUUUCCAUUUCUUUUUUCUUUUUCCUUUCUCUACAAAAUCAAUCUUGGACGGCGCCAAGGCGUUGACUGCCUUCUAGACCAUCCAUAACAUGAACAUACUUUUUCCUAACACAUUCAUCACUCCAGUUAUGUCUUCCCUCAGUCCACAAGUUUAUUGGGAACCUGGGUUUUCUGUACAACCCAGCCAUUACAACUCAACCAAUACAAAUGAGAUGGUUGUUUCAGGAGAAUCAUGCGUCCAAGAUCUUCUUCCAUUCCUUUGUGACUGACACGCAUAAAUUAUAAAUCCUUGUUUUGACUUCAAAUUCCAUAACACAACAUCUCAAAUUCUUUCGUAAAAGAGUAACAUAUAAGAUCAAGGGUUAUAAAUUAAAUUAUUUUUUUUAGAAAGUAGUAAAAAAAUUGUACCUAAAAUAUUUAGAUAUAUUGUACCCCAUCCAUUAAGCAUUUCUGGAUCAUUAAAGCAGAACAUGAAAAAAAGAGCAAGAAACUCAUAAAAUUUAAAAUAAAAUUAAAAAGCUAAGGUGAAAUUUAGACAUGAUUGGCAUUAUUAUUCUGAUUAAUAACCCCAACCCGUUGGUUGGCUGUGGUUGCUUCAGCCGUAGGCAUGACUUGCCAAGCCGAAGCCGCGAUGAGAGGACGGCUGUGCCAGCCGAGAGUGAGGCACCCGUCGUUCUCUUCCACGCGGUAUCCUUCAGCCGAGAAAAGUGUCAGAAGCAUACUCGCCUGCUUGAAAGCAUUGGAACCCAAAUGCAGAGCCCUAAACCCGGCUUGUCCCAGCCGAGCCCUCCACUUCCCCAAAGGCUCAUGUCUCUCCACUCGAGCCGCGCCCUCACAGCACACCACGUUGCAUAUCUCCCUCUGUAUGUACAUCUCCGCCAAGGCCUUCUCCGGCUGCAUCGCGCAAGCCUCCAACGAGUCGAACAUGGUCGAGUAGUAGUACAAAGCCUCAGUGAAUCGGUCCAAGAACCCGGUUUUGUUGUGGUCCGCUUCCUGCUCCACAACCGUCACGAUCUUCGGGUUCAGGUUCCGGAUCCAGCCCAGCAUCAUCUCGAUUGGGGAAUUCCGGUUCGGGUCCGAUCCGAGAAGCCGAUGCAGCUGCAUGAUUGAGUUCACUGCCACAGCCUCCUUCGGGCUCACCUGCAGCAUCCACGGCUUCACAUCCUCGAGCCUCGAAGCCGCCACGCCGCGAAAGGCGAAACGGACGUUGACGGACCGAGCCAAUUCGGCCAGUCGAAGGCCGAUUUCUCUCAGCGAGUCUCGCCCGUCCGGCGAAGGCGGUCCAAUGCCCGUCAGUCGGAGCAAGGGGGGCCCACCGGGGCGUAGAGCCAGGGCCUGUAUAAGUGCCGGCCAUUGCAAGCCGUGCAUUAAGUUGAAGUCGAUGACGUGGACGCAAUCGUGACCCUGGAAGGCUUCCAGGAUGGCCUGAUUGGCGGUGAAGUGAGCGAAUUUGAGGUAAGGGCAGGCCUCGUAGAAGUAAUGGUAGAGGAGCUCGUUUUCGUGAGCCGAGGCGACGCUCUGGUGGGAGAAGAUUCGGCGGCUGAGGGCGUCGAUGAAGUAACCAGCGACCUUACCGAUGCCGCAGCUGGUGUUGACACGUGUGAGCAGAGUCUGCAUGUUCUCGAUCAGCGAGCCCGCCAACGCGAGAUCCCCACGCUGGACGGAUUCGGCGCACGUGACGAGCAAGUGGACGAGCCUUAUCCCGGAAUCUUCUUCCAUAGCCGUGACGACGGUGAGCUGGUGCUGCUGCUGCUGAGGCGGCGGAAGAGGUUCGGUCCAGGUGUCGUUGGGGAGGUCCGUUGGAUUGAUGAUGGCAUCAGGGAAGUCGAGAUCGGAUGGUAGGGAGAUAAGGGGCUGGUGGUUGAACUCGGAGAGGAGCGAGUCGACCCAGGUGGCGAGGUCGGAGGGGUUGUAGAGAACGGCGUCGGAGGCGAGCUGGGAAAGGUCGUUGGGGGAGUUGACCAUGACGGUCUCGAGGCGCUCGAGGCGCUGAGCGACAUGUCGUAGGUCGGAGGAGCGGACCUUGUAGCCGGCGUCGGCCAAAUAGCCAUCGAUCUCGGCGGGUGGUUUGGUGACGGAGGAGGAAGAAGAGGAGCUGGCGCUGCUGCUGACGCCGGAGCAAACGGUUGAACCGUAGGGCCCCAUAGAUAUAAUUGCAGGUGAGCUGAUCAAACUGAAGAGGAAUUGGGUGGGUGAGGAUGGAUUAGAUACGAGGUGGGUGUUUGUGGGUUUUGGUGUUCAUUUCCAUUUCCCUUUCCAUCAGGGAAGAGAGAGAGAGAGAGAGAGAGAGAGAGGGAGAGUGAGGAAGGAGUGAGCGAUGAGUGGAAAGAGAUGGAUGAAGAAAUAGGGCGGAAGUGAAAAAGAGAGAGGGGGGUUUUGAUACGGACGAGUAGGGAGGAAGAAGUAGUGUAGGACAGAGAUGACUGCUGACAUGUUCCUGUGGUCCACUACCCACCAACUGUAUAGUGUAUAUACUGCUUUGCUUCCUUUUUCCUUUUUCCUCUUUUACUUCCACUAUUUCUCAUGGAUUUGUUUUUCCUCUUUCAUUAUUUUAUUUGAUUUGGAGUAGUUGUGGCUGUAGCCUACUAGCCUCUAUGUUAAUGCUUAUUUCUUCAAGUAAAAUAAUUCAUUCAUAAUAAGUAAUCUAUGUUUUAUAUAAACAGCAUUUUAAAAAUGUAUCGUCCUCGUGUAAAUUAAAACAAAUUAUAUGUGUUAGAUCAGUUAGUCCGGCAAUGCAUUAUGCAUCUAUGCAUCUAUGCAUCUAUGUUCGAGUCUCAUUUUCUUAUUAAAUUAAUUUUAAAUAAUUUAAAUAAUUGCUUGUAUAAAUAUAAUUAUUUAUAAAUUACAAUUGAUAAAGUGCGUAAAAAAGUCAUACCAGUAAUAGUUGCUUUUAUAUUUUAUCUUAAAAUACGUAUAGACAUUUACAUGAAGAGAGGAGAUGAGAUGGGAGGAGAGUCCACAGUGCCGGCAGCAGGCAGGCAGGUAGGCAGGCAGGCACAAAAUAAGAGACUGAGUCAGUCAGGUGUCAACUUGGCUUCAACGUUUGCUCAUCUCAUGAAUCAAACUUUCCAUCCAUUCGAAGCUGAUCAAUUACUACGCAAUUUCGAAGCUGAUCAAUUACUACGAUUUCUCUGGUCUGGAAUAUUAUUAUUUUAAUACUAAACUAUUUGUGUGUAAUUUUCUACCAAAUCAUCUGAACUCUGUCUAAUUUCUUUAAUUUUCUUUUGAUUUGGUAUGAUCUCUUUGUUGAAUAAUAUACUUCUAUAAUCUAUACUUACAUUACAUGUGCUGAGUGAGUGAGUGAGUGAGUGAGUGCAGAGAAGAGGAGAGAAUAUAAUUAAGCAUCAUGAACCAAGAUUCGCUCUUCUUAAUUUGGUAUUAAUCAUAUAUUAAUUUAUUGUUAAGCAAAUCAUUUGAAUUUAAUUAAUUUUAUAAUCUCAAGUAAACAAACUACAAAGAAACUUAGGAAAGCAUAUGCGAGAUUAUGCUAGUUCGGCCAAAUUCGAAUCUCCCUCCACGUACUAGUAGUGAUUAACGUAAAGAGUAAUAUUAGCAGGGCUUGACCCUUGAAUUUGAUGUGAACAUAUAUAUUUAUUUCAAAUAGAUCUUUUCAUUCAACAUUAAUUAGCCCUCAAUGCCGAGUAUGAUGAUGACCUUAUGCUUAAUUAAUCGGAAUCCCCGGCUAGCUAUGAUUAUUACUACUGAUCCCCUAAUCCCUUGAUUGGUCAAAUCCACGAGCUGAUCUUCAAUUCAACCAUUAGCAAAUAGCAACCACUUGAAUCCUUUACUUAAUUAAAAUGAAUAGAUAGGUUUAAAAAAUCAUUUAUCUCUUAAUCUCCACAGAGUUAUUGAGUGUAUUGACAGUAACAGUUUGAGUUAAUAAUUAUUGACCCUCCUCGUCCUCUAUAAUUAAUUAAGGAUCCCUAAUGCUCUCUUAUGCAUAUAAUGACAUGAAUGAUUGGCUCCCACCCUGUAGAACCCAUCAACGGGACCACUUGAAUGUGAGAGGAGAUUAAAUAAUUUAGUUUGGCACCUUAGUUCGUUUUAUAUAUGCUUUUGUUUAUCUUAUCGAUAAAAUAUUAUCGUUCUUUUAUAAUUAAAAAAAUUAUAACUUUUUAUUCAUACAUGUUUAUAUUAAUCUUAGUCGCUUUAAAAAUGAUCCUUCAACACAUAAAGGGGACGUUAUGUGUGUUGCUUUAAACAUGAAUGAGUGAAGGGACCUGAUCAUCAAGCAGAUUGAGGGACUUAUUGAAUUUACCUAGCAAAAAAAUGUAUAGAAAAAUAACAAGAAGAAUGCACCUUGUUAGCUACGUUUACACUUACAUUGACAGUAUUUUUAUUAUAGUUACAGCGUCAUUGUAAUGCCGAAUAUUCCACAUCACUGAGACAUGUGUCGAAUAAAGACACUAGGAGGUGUCAUCGUUACCUCCUUUUUAUAUUUAUAAUUCAUAUUUUAUUAUGUAUCGUUGUUAAUAUGAAUCAUAAUGGUGUCGUUGUUAAUAUGAAUCAUAUUUUAUUAUGUAUGUAUGAUCAAAUUAUAAUAGAUUAAAGUGUUUUUUUUAUAAUAAUUACAUGAUAAUUUAGGAAAAGGAAAGAUUCAAUAUUGAUCGCCAACUUCGCUAUUAAUUUAGGACAGGAUAUUUAUUCACAGUAAAUUAGAAAUUUACACGGUUGGUUGAUGUAGGAGGUGCGCACUUGAAUCAAAAACUGCAACAUCUGAUUCUGAUCUGCGCACGCUCGUGUAUGAGUAUGUUGUACAUUAACAAAUGAAAAGAAAAAGCUCAAAGCUGAUGCGAAUAGGCAAUGGCCAUUGAAAAGCUGAAGGAGUCAAAUUCUAGACAUGCGGCUGGCUCUCCAUAAUUCUUAGGACCUGUGAACUUAUUUGUGGCCAUCAAGGCAAUACUUUACUGCACAUUAAUAAUAUAAAAUCCAAACUUACAAACCAUGCAUAUAUAAUAAUAUAAUUCUCUCACAAUUCUAUGAGAUUUAGGAAGACAGAAAGAGAUCUAUCACAGGUUAACCAAUGGGCAAUUAUUUAGAGAGAGAGAGAGAGAGAGACAGACAGACACAGAGGUUUUGAUGGUUCAAAAGUUUUCCAUGAAAUAUGUAAAAAGCUUUUUCCUCGGAUUGGUGGGGGUUGGGUGGUCCAGUAUUAGAUCAAGCCCCAAAAGGAUCCAAGUAAAGAUUCUUAAAGUUGGAGGUGAGUUUGUUUUGCAUAUGCUUAGACUUAGUCACAUGGUUAUAGACUUGAUAUAGUAGAAAGAAAAUAACUAGAGCAGAUCGGGGGAAAUAAAGUAAUGCAAGAAUAACUUGAUCUUCCCAAUUACAAGAGCCGCAUGCAAAUCUAGGUUAGGUUAGCAGAUGUAAUGCGGUUAUCCUUUACAUAUGAGUUCGAAUCUAAAUAGUAAAUGGUAAUAGAUAGGAGUAGUUUUUUUUUAUAAAAAAAAAUUGAAUGAGGAGGUUAAGAGAGGUGUGGGGUGGUCCAGUUGGUAACAUGGAACUUGGGACCAGACCAGAGAGCGAGCAAAAUCACAAAGCCCAAAAAGCAUGUGAAUUUAAGUGAAAAUAGCAGAUGUUAUGUUCGAGGAGGAGGCGGAGGAGGAGCCAAACUUUGAUUGGGAGGGGAAUGGGAUGUUGACACGUAUAUAUGGACUGACUGAGUCAGUGUGGGAAUCAAAAGGGAAAUUCAAUAUAUCCGUGCGCUGGCAUUGGCCAUUCAGAUGGCAAUUGCAAUUUGCAAAUUGCAAACAGGGUGGUCAUGGUGGGGAGUGAGAGACACUGUGCGUCUGUGAAGACUCUCACGGCAGACUCUCUCUCUCUCUCUCUCUCUCUCUCUCUCAAGUUGGGGUUGGGACCAGAGCAUUCCUGUGAGAACAUGUUGUGUUUGGGACAAUCAUCUCUAGGGUGUGCCCCAUUCCGUUGUUUUUGCUGACACAAUCACGUUAUUGCACCCUCUCAUUGCAUAGCAUAAUCACAUCACAUAUCAUAUACAUAUCACACUUGAGCUGUGUUAGCAUCAGCUGUCCACGCGAUGACUAUAUACUCUCAGUAACUUAUAGACAUCCCGUAAUAUUUCACAAUGCGUCAACGGCUAUGCUAAUAGUGUGCUAUAGUAUAACUCAUGAUAUCAAGUUAUGUAUUUUUGGGAGUCCUAUACCUUGCCUUUUUCUUUUAUUAUAUUUUCUCCUUAGAAGCUAAACUUGCCAAUUACAUAAUCCAAUUAGAUUCCAGCCACCUUGAUCAUGUAAAACCUAAGCACUUAUUACAUUUUCAAGUUCUAUCUUAAAGGUUACUCAUGCAACAAAUCAGCUAAACUGGAAAUUAUUUAGCUAUUUGAUUAUCAACAUUUUCGUUUUAAUAGAUACAUGUGACCGUCGGCAUAAUAUAGCUAACUUUAUAUUUGGCUAAAAGUUACUUACCUCAACAUCCAGCUAAGCACCACAACCAACUUUACCACACUCAGCACAAGAAUGAGUGCUCACCAAAGCUCUGCACUCAAACUGUUUCAAUCUAAACAGACAUGCAGCAACUGCAACACCAUAACAUAUCAGAUGAUGCAUUAAUUGAAUGGUGGAUGGAUGACAGACCAAUACAGAGUCCGAUCAUGUCUCGUUAUGUAAAAAAGUUAUUACGCAUGACCGACAGAAUGUAAUUGACAAGAAGAUAAUAAAACAAUGUUAUGUCGGUCAUCUAUUCUUCUUGCUGCAGUCAGGCAUUUGAGAUUUUAGUAGAGUAGCCCAAACCCUCAAAAUUAGACUCGUAGCAAAUCUAUCUCAACAUGUUCACAAAUCAGUUACUAUACCACCCACCUAUCAAUUCAAAUGCCUAUCCUAUGCGCAUCAAAAUCCGGUCUCACAUCUGUGAUGGAACAAGGGAGAAAGCCAAUUAAUGCCAAUAUUGUUGUGGAAUUUUCACUAUUGCUCAGGCUGUCUUAGCACUGUACAACGAAAGAUAAAGAAAAAAGAAAGAGGGUGAAAUAUCUUAUCACAAGUCAGCAGUCCAGUCACCACAAUUUGUUUUUGCAAAAAUAGCAUUAUCCAUCCACACUCAAAAUAUCAUAUGUUAAACGGUUAAAUUAAGCUUCUUUAACGGUAAUAACUAACAACGGACACAGUCACAGACUCCACAGAGCAGCAGCAAUGGCUGCUCCUCUUUCCCUCCACCAUAUCAGACUACCUUUCUCUUCAGAUAAUCCAAUCUUACACAACAAACCAACCACUUCCACCGCCAUCGCCGCUGCCCCCAUCACCACCGCCACCAAAACUAGUAGGACCAGCAGCCCAAUUGAACCACACCCAUGUCUCGCAUUGCUAGACAAAUGCUCCACCAUGUCCGAGCUUAAGCAAAUCCACGCCCAGCUCCUCCGAACCAGCCUCUUCUUCGACGCCUUCACCGCCAGCAAAGUCGUCGCCUUUUCCUCUCUGGAAGGCUCCGGAAGCCUCCAUUAUGCUCGUUUAGUCUUAACUCAAAUCCCCAAUCCCACCACUUAUACUUGUAAUUCGGUUAUUCGAGGCUACACCAACAAGGAUUUGCCCUGUGAAGCCAUUUUUUUCUACCAAGAAAUGAUCAUCCAAGGUUGGGUGCCUGACAGGUUCACGUUCCCAUCUCUGUUCAAGUCUUGUGGGGAUUUGUGGGAGGGGAAACAGCUGCAUUGCCAUUCUACCAAGUUGGGUUUCGCCUCGGAUUCAUACAUUCAGAACACUUUGAUGAAUAUGUACUCGAAUUGUGGGUGUUUGAUCUCGGCUCGCAACGUGUUUGAUAAAAUGUUGGAGAAGAGUGUGGUUUCUUGGGCAACCAUGAUUGACGCUUAUGCGCAGUGGGAUCAACCCAUUGAGGCUUUAAAGCUGUUUGAUAAGAUGGAGAGUGGAAGUGUGGAUCCUAACGAGGUUACUUUGGUUAAUGUUUUGACAGCAUGUGCCAAGGCAAGGGAUUUGAAAAUGGCCAAAAGGGUGCACCAGUACAUUGAAGAGUAUGGUUUUGGAAACCAUUUGAAGCUCAAUACGGCACUCAUGGAUGUUUAUUGUAAAUGUGGAUGUGUAUUGCUUGCUCGAGAUUUGUUUGACAAGAUGCCCGAGAAGAACUUGUUCAGUUGGAACAUUAUGAUCAAUGGACAUGUUGAGGAUAGUAAUUAUGAUGAGGCCUUCGUACUCUUUCGUGAAAUGCAGCUUAAGGGCGAAAAAGGGGAUAAGGUGACCAUGGUAAGUUUAUUGCUUGCUUGCAGCCAUUUGGGUGCUCUAGAGCUUGGAAAGUGGCUGCAUGCCUAUAUUGAAAAGGAGAAGAUUGAGGUGGAUGUUACCCUCGGGACGACACUCGUCGACAUGUAUGCGAAGUGUGGGAGCAUAGACGGUGCAUCGGAAGUCUUUCGAAAGCUGCUUGAGAAGGAUGUUAUGACUUGGACAGCCUUGAUUUCUGGCUUUGCAUCGUGUGGACAAGGAAAGAAGGCUUUGGAGCAUUUCCAUGAGAUGCAGACGAGUGGAGUGAAACCAGAUGCAAUAACUUUUGUUGGGGUAUUGGCUGCUUGUAGCCAUGCUGGAUUAGUGGAUGAAGGAAUUUCGCAUUUUAACUCGAUGCAUGAAGUGUAUGGCAUUCAGCCUAGCAUUGAGCACUAUGGUUGCAUGGUUGACAUAUUAGGCCGAGCUGGUCGCAUAGCUGAAGCAGAGGAGUUGAUUCGGAAGAUGCAAAUGCCACCGGAUCGUUUUGUUUUGGGAGGGCUUCUUGGUGCCUGUAGAGUCCAUGGCAACCUUGAGGCUGCAGAAAGAGCAGCUCAACAGCUUCUAGAACUUGACCCGGACGAUGAUGGAGCGUAUGUGCUUCUUUCAAACUUAUAUAGCUCUAUGAAAAAGUGGGAAGAAGCCAAAAGAAUUAGGGAACUCAUGGCAGAAAGAAAUGUGAAGAAAGCUCCAGGUUGCAGUCUGAUUGAGGUUGAUGGUAUUGUCCAUGAAUUUGUGAAGGGUGAUUCAUCUCACCCGCAAUCGACACACAUCUACGAAAUGCUUCAAGACAUGAUCGAGCGGUUAAAGAAAGCUGGUUAUGUUCCUGAGAAAUCCGAGGUGUUGUUGGAUAUAGAUGAAGAAGAGAAGGAGACUGCACUGAGCCUACACAGUGAAAAGCUGGCAAUUGCAUUUGGGCUCAUAAGCACAAACCCAGGGACAACAAUACGAGUUGUGAAAAACCUCCGUGUAUGCAGUGACUGCCACACUGCAACCAAGAUCAUCUCCAAAGUUUACAACAGAGAAAUUAUUGUGCGGGAUAGGAACCGAUUCCAUCGAUUUCAAGAUGGAUCUUGUUCUUGUAAGGAUUUUUGGUGAUGUAGCUUUAGUUAAAUAUAUUAAGAGCCUUCAAAAUUCUUGUACAUUCACGAUUUCACACAGUUUUGGUGUAAUUUUUUAUAUUAAUUCAAAGCAUCUCCACAAAUAGCGGACCGAUCAAUAAGCUAUUAUAUAAGCAUGAAUUUGUACGUGGAAACUGCUACAAGAUAUAUAACUUCAGAAAGUGGAUGCGUAGACAUGAAGUUCUGUGCGUGCUUGUAUGCUGCACGUUCUAAAGCAUCUUCACAAAAGAAAGACAGAAAGAAAGAAAAAGUAUCACACCAGCGAAGCAGGGGAGGUUUGAACUAAAGAUCCUCCCCUUGUCUUAAUUAUAAUGAUAUAAAAUUCAGUGUAAAUGGAACUGACGAUACAUACGCACUUCACAAACUGGAUUUUCAUUGAACGAUGCACAAUCCGCUGUACACUGUUCAUAUCGGCAUUUGGCUAUUAAUAUCUGUAUAGUUGGAGAUGAAAUCUAACCAACAAUGAACUCUAAUAUAUAACCCCAUCGCCAAACAGGUUGGAAUCCCAAACUUAAUUCAGGAAGAAAUAAUCUUCCUAUCAAUAUUCUAAACAAAAAGAAAAACAAGAAAACUUUUGGCACACAUUGCUUUGGUUUUAAUAGUCCUUGGGCUACGCAUGAGAGCAUGCAACCAUCAUGUAACAGAAAUGAAUCAGACACCAAAUAAUUUCCAGAUAAAAACAAUGGCAUUGUCAUUAAUCACUGGUGAAAAGAUCAGCUGAAGUGCUCUCAGAUAUCAAAUUGUAAGAACAUAAUUCGUGUGUAAACCAGAUACAGAAAAAUUCCUAAGAUACUAAAUGCUAAAGAUAAAACUUCAAACAUGCACUGCCGCUUCACCAGUAGCUUAAAUAUGACCAGGCAGGAAUGGAAUUCUCAUACAGAAGCAAGUUUACCAGAAACUGCCUUCCCUUGAUUUUCUUCAGGAAAGUCAUCACCAUCAUUCUCAACGGGAGUCUGCUUAGACACUGCUGUUUCGCGCUGGGAUGGGGCACUGCCAGCUCCAGUCACUGACUGCUGAUAAAGAACACCCCCUACAAUUGUUAAGAGGAGGCAGAGCAAACCAAAAGGACUGGCAUGCUUAUCCCAAAUCAGCACAUUGAUGGCAACCGUAAGAAACUUAUUAACAACACCAGUCACUGUAAAUGCUGUUGCAGAGAUUGCCUUCCUAGCUGCAAACCCAAAGAAACUGAUGAGCAAUCCAAACACACACGACAGUGAGACCGCGAAAAGUGCACCGGGUUCAAAGAAAUUCGCAGCAUUCGAUCCCAAAGCACCAAACACUUCAGCAUACUCUCCCGUUAUAAUCCAAAACGGUGGGGCCAUCAUUAGUGACAACAGAUUGUUGUACAACACAAAACCCCAGGUGUUCAACCCGAGAUUAGUGACCAUAUGUUUAAUAUAAACCAUCUCAGUUGUAAUGGUCACCAAAUAUGCAAAUGCCCAUGAAUAAGCGGUCAGAGUGAAACCCGAAUCAGUGGCCACAUAGCCAACAGCUCCGCCCAAAAUGAUCAACAACGACACAAAGGUAAGCUUAGAUGGGAUUGGCUGUUUCCUAAAGGCAGUAUCCGCUAGCGCAACCAAAAGGGGUGUGCAUGAUCUAAACACUAUAAACGUAUCCACAUUGGCAUGGCGAAGAAGAUUAGUGUUGGUAAAGAUUGCAAGGUAGAACACAAAGGCAGCAGGCAAAAACUUCUUGGCCGUCUGGAGUGAGAAGGGAUCAUGGUGUAAAAAUCCAAACUUUCCCAGAGCCCAAACUCCCAAUGCAGAAGUAAGGUAUUGCAGUGCGGUCAAAAGGCCAGGGUAGUUGAAUUUGGUAAUGGCAAACUUGUUUAUCACAGCUAACAAGCUGGAACAGAGUGCAUACCCAACCACGAGACUGCUCGUGGCGAAGUACGGCUUAGUUGAAUCAACUCUAAUAGAAGACAUUGAGACUAACUAAUGCACCCAAUUCAAAUUCAGAGCAAAAUCUAGCAGAUCUUCAAAAAUUUCAAGUACAUAUACAGUGAAAGACAGCGCUAUGAAAGGUUAAGUGAAUGAGAAUGAAGAGGCAAGAACUUCAUAGAAAAUCCAACAUAUGGGUAUUGAAGAUUAUGCCGAUCUGCUAUAUUGGUCAAGAAAUUAAUACAUAAAACGACGAUAUAUUGGAUUGAAAUGUAUAGAUAGAGAAUAAAUUGUACAUCACCGACACAUAGAAAAGCGCGGAUCUUGAAGCAGAAGGAAGCAAAGGAUGGCCUCGCUGUGGAGGCUGAGAUCUCAGAGAGAGCUUUGGAAAGCUUAGAGAAGCGAAAUGGGGGAGAAGAACAGAGAGAGCCUUGCAGAACAGGGAGAGAGACCGACGAAAGAAUAGAAUUGAAAUUUCUAUGGCGUUGAUUUGUCGAAAUAAGAAGAGGUGAAACGGCUUCGUUUUAAGAGUUGUUGGUUUUGGUUUGCUUGGACUAUGUCGUCGUGCGGGUUUAUGUGUUAAUGCCGUAGUUAAUGGAGCGAUAUUUAUUUAAUAUUAAAGAUUUCUUGAGGAGGAUCUCUGCAGAUUUCCCGAAUUAAUGAUCAUGUAAGUGUGAAUAUAAUAAUAUUAACAACAGGAAAGGUAAAGAAAAAAAAAGACAAAACAUGCUGUCAAAAAAUAUUCACACUUGCCUUAUAUGUUGAAAUUUUCAUAAGAAAUUGAAGUACUUCUUCAAAAAGUACUUGGGAGUGCUUCCUGAAGAUGCACAUGACAGGUGCUUCUCUAGAAAACGCUUCUAUGACUCAAAAGCGCUUCUAAACUUUUUUAUUAAGCGCUGUCAGAAGCGCUUUUAAUUGUAAAAAAGCGCUUUUAACUAUUUCAGAAGCACUUCCAAACAUGUCAUAAGUCGGUUGGUCAGGAUAAUAAGUCUGAUUCAUUACAUCUGAAUUUAUAAUACUGAAUUAAUAUUAUAAAGUAAUUUAUCCUAUUGCUUGUAUUUAAGAAAGAAAGAAAAAAAAGUUGCAGGUUGGUGCACUAAUCAAAUUGUUGGGUCGUUUGGAAGCCUCUAAGUAAUGUUCACUCUUGAAGCCCAACAUAGGCCCAAAUUAUUGCAAGCUGUUGACACAGCAAAUUAGGCCCAAUAUUAGAACCAAAGCAAGCGUUCAAAAUCACAACCAACCAAACCAGAAGCCGAAUAUGCUCACCCAACAACACAACGGUCAAUCCUUCAUGUUCAAUUCCCGCCACUUUCUAUCUAAGCCAUUCCUCUUCCCAACCUCCUGUCACAACCCCACACUAACCAAAGCAUCAUGCAUCCAAUAAAGUGACCUCUCUACAAGGAGUCAAAGGCCGUUGGUUCUGCAAAAUUGGAUCACAGAGUGGUGAUCUAUUGCCUAAUCUUGCUGAAUAUCGCUUUAUUGUGGGGACUCUCCAGUAUCUUACUUGGACUAGGCCUGAUCUCUCAUAUGCAGUCAAUCACGUGUGUCAGUUUAUGCAUACUCCAAGAGACCCUCAUCUACAAGUAGUAAAAAGAAUUCUGAGAUGCCUUAAAGGCACAAUCAACCAUGGUCUUUUUAUUCAAAAGCAAGCUACUAAUGUUCUAUCUCUGCAAGCCUACUCUGAUGCAGAUUGGGCAGGUUGCCCUUAUGAUCCACGAUCUCCUGGAGGUUAUUGCGUCUUUCUAGGAUGUACUCUCAUUAGUUGGAGUGCAAAGAACCAAUCAUUUGUGGAAAGAUCCUCAACUGAAGCUGAGUACAGAUCACUCACUUUAACAGCAGCUGAGCUUUCCUAGAUUGCAAAGUUAUUUGCAUAAAUUGGUUACAAACUUCCCUCUCUUCCAGUCUUAUGGUGUGAUAAUAUAUCUGCCAUAGCGCUAUCAAAUAAUCCUGUGUUUCAUUCUAGAACUAAACAUUUUGAGCUAGAUUUCCACUACAUUAGAGAACAAGUUCUCAAUCAAAAAUUGACUGUGAAGUAUGUUUGUAGUCAAGACCAAAUUGCUGACAUUCACACCAAGUCUUUCAGCAAGCAACGUUUCCUUUUUCUCUGGUCUAAGCUUUCACUUCAGUCCCCUCCAUUCAGCUUGAGGGGGUGUAAAGAGACCUCUCUAUAAGGAGUGUUAAAUUUAAUACACACUUGAAGAAUAUUGAAAAAUCUAGAAGAAAUUAGAAAACUCAAGAAAGUUCAUAACUUUGACAAAGUCAAGUUUUAAGAGAGGAUUGUUGUAAAUUCUAGAAAAGUCCUGAUAAAAAUCUUGUAAUAAGGUAAUAUUAUAUUAUAAAGUAGUGGCUAGGAGAAGAAGUCAAGUCCACCA
rnacentral:lncRNA from 1 species